UUUGCAGGUCGAUCCGUUUAAGCUCCAAUCCAUAACUUCCCUCCAGUUUGUAGGAAGUUUAAUUUGUGAUGAAUAAGAUGUUUGUCUUUCCUCAUAACAUAAAUUCAUUUAUAUAGUGUGUAUCCCGAGACAUGAAAAUCUCUUUUUGCUAUCAAGCAGAGGGACAGUGCCCAAAGCCUUAUUACAUAGCAACUGUAAACUACUGUGUAAGAAAGUACAACACUCACUUUAACACUGUAAAGUACGACUACAUGCCAUGACCAAAUUUAUUCCUGCAUGAACAACACUAGUGCAUUUAGAUGCCGGUUAGAACUGUCUGAAGGUCUUCCAUUUGCUCAGCUGAAGCUUCGCCGGCUUUUGCCUAGCAGAGCCAUCAGCAUUAGCUUCUAACUCAGCAGAUCCUCCACGGCCUUCAUUCUUUUUAUGGUCCCGCUCCGACACUGCCUCGACCUUCUGCCGAGGAAGAUCAUUCUGGUACUGGCCGAGCAGAGCCCCGUUUUGGACUUCGUUGGAGGCCGGUUCAUUCUUGAAGGCUCUGUACACGUUCGGGUAUUGAGGGAUAUCGGGAUUGACGCUAAGCGUCUUUGAAAUUCUCGAGAUGUGUUCGAGGUAAUCAUCGGAGGUGGUGUUCCAGCCAGGGAUGGAACUGGGAGUAUUUCCUAAGCUUCGACGCAUGUUUUCGCCUUUGCAGUGGUAUAGCGAAGGAACUUCCAUUUAUACGUGAAGGGGUGAGAUGCUUGUGCUAUAUUCUUGAAGUGACAUUGACAGCAUCUGAUUCCCUUUUCUAUAUUUGAAACACAGAACAAGAACAUGUGCGGAACGUACCCAGAUAUAGGGCAGCGUCCAAGGCUUCUCGGAGAUUUAUUCCUUGACCGAUACGUCAUAAACUAGACACUUUAAUCGUGUCAUAAUGCGCCAGAUAUUUUUUUUUUCCUUUUUUGUCUCUAGAAGCUGCAUCACUUGGUUUUAAUAUCCUUUUAAAAAUACCGGAAAUAUAUUUGAGAGAUGAUAGGGGAUUUUGCGUAUUUCCUUAUUAUCCUGUAAAGCUCGUGUACUCUUCAUUUGAUAAUGAACAGAAUAUUAUAUUUUUCUAUCAUUACAAUCCUCAACUCCAAUGUUGUAUGCGAUAGAUUUUAUCUAUUACAACAAAAAGUAAAGAUAAACAAUAUGGAUAAUCGAAGACAAUUUUGAUCAAAUAGUAAAUAUUCCCCUUGCUCAAAACCCACAAGAGAUUCAAUGUAAUCCACUAGUCAAAAGUCGUAUAAAGCUUGACCCCUUGAUAUGUAGGAUCUCUGAAAGAGUACGUGACGGACCCUCCAACACCGCUGUGCCCUAGCCCAACGAGGUGACCGAUCCCGCGGAAAGCCACGGCCUCCAAGUCCAAAGCGGGCGAACCGGAGGGUGGAUUCACAGCCCACCUCACGUCCGCGUCGUAGCGGAAUGGCCUGCUAGUUGGUGGGAAAUCAUGGGCAAUAGUUCCUCCGGGCCCUUUGAAUCUGUUCUCCAUGCCACAGGUGAGAUGGUAAUUAGAAGCCGGCCACCUAGCGAUUUCCUACAAUUAUCAAUGAGGGCAUGAUUAGAAGAAAAAAAUAGAAUCAUUAAAUCCCACAAUAGCAUAUAAAAAAUGCUAGUGCUGAUAUUUCUCUAAAGUGGUCCAUAAAAAACUCACGAAACGAUUUAACUUUUUUUUUUUUCUGAAGUCCCUCGAAAAAGUUGUUCCAAAGAAAUUCUUAGGGCGCGCAUGUUUUUAUUUCUGUUCCUUUUCUGUUCCCGGGAACAUAAAUAAAAAAAAAAGUGUUUCUGUUCCGGGGAACAAUUUUUGAAUAAAAAAACGCGUUUGGUAAACUUGUUCCGGAAAUAAAAAAUGAACAGAAACAUGUUUGGUAAAUUUUAUUCUUUUUUUGUUUUUUUUUAAUUUUUUAAUAUUUUAAUUUUUUUUUAAAUUUUUUCCUUUAUUUUUUCUUUUUUCUUUUUUCGGCCGGUCGCCGGCCUCCGGCCGAUGGGGCCGGCAGCCUCGCCCAACCACGGCGAGGCUCGGCCUCGCCGGGGGCCGAUGAGGUCGCUGACCCUCGACGGCUGGUGGCCGGCCAUGGCCGAGGUCGGCGACCGGCGAAAGAAAAAAGAAGAAGAAAAGAAGAAGAAAAGAAGAAGAGAGAGAAGAAGAAAUGUUUCUUCAAAAUUGUUUCUGGAACAAGAAGUAAGUUUUUUUUGUUUCUUUUUUUUGUUCUUUUUGUGUUCCAGGAACAAAAGAACAAAAAAACAAAAAAGUGUUCCAGAAACACUUUUUUGGAAAGUUUCCAUGCAGCCCCUUUAGUAACUUCUCGAAUGUGCUUUUUGCCUUAUUCAAGCAAGGGCAAGGAGGGGGUUAGGAGUUUUUCAUGUUGUCUUAGAAUGUUUCUCACCAUUGUAAAUCUGAUCAUUUAGAGGAUUAAUAAUGUCUUGAAUGACUAAUUACGACCCCAUGCCAUCCGAAAAACAAGGGACUGAUUCCAGAGGCUGAAGCGACAUCAGCCUGGGCAUUAGGCUUCUCCUAACGUUUUCAACUUACUAUGUUCUUGACUUCUUAAUUAGAAAUAAUAAUUAUAAAAAAAGAAUGAAGGCAAUCCUUAUACAUGUACGCCACAUUUCUGAAAAUUGCAAAAUGAUUCCUAUUUGUAAGAAUAAUUAUGACGAGUUAAUGUUUCGGUAUCUUGACUACACCGACACUUUAGAUUUGGUACUGUGAGAUUGGUCAUUUAGGGUUUCCCUCAAAGAAUUUGUAGUGAGACACCGCAUAGAAGGAGCCGAGACCACGGAGGUUCUGGCCUCACGGAGGUUCUGGCCUUUCUUGUUGGGCUCCAUCCAAGUGGUCCCGUUGAUGAUAUCCGACACGCCACACCGCGGCAUCAUCAUUUUCAAAACCAUAUGAGGAUCCAAGGUUCUAGUAAUAUUUAGAUGAUGAUUGAACUGAUAUACCUUGAUGAAAUGCUCUAGCAAAUCGUUGAAGUCGUCAUCACUGGUGUGGACCGAAUGUUCAGAUUGGUUGUAGUUCAAGUAGUGUUUAGAUGACGAUUGAAAUCUUGACCACGUUGUGACAUCCCGAUUUUUCUCAAUUUUAUUUUCAGUCAAUUGAGUCGGGCAAUUCAUUUGUGCAUGUAGUUCGUCUCUCAAAGUUGGCCACUCACGAGGGAACUAGUCUAUUGAGUGAAGCAAUUAAGGAAUUUUAAUGCGUCAGACUUGGGGACUAAUCACCCUCGGGUCGGAUGUAAGAAAGUUUCCCCAAAAGCUACUUAGUGGAUUAGGCGUGCUGAAAUCGCAUUAGAUUGAAUUCAACUGUAAAAAUUGGGAUUGAAUUUAGAAGUUGGAAGCCCGGUCAUGUCACACAUCUUAUUAGGAUCAUGGGAUAAUUUUUUAGGAUUUUAAUUGGAUUCAAUUAGAAGAGAAUUGAAAGAAAAAUUGAAGAAAUUGGAUGUAUAAGGAUUUGGAUUCCGGCGGAAAUGAUAUUGCACCCAUUGAAGAAUGUUGUGGGAGAGGAGAUAGUGGAAGAUGACAUCAUGCUGAUUGAAGCCAAGGAUUGAGGGCUUGACAAGUGGAGGGUGGAGAUUUAAUCUCCAAAAAGGGGGCCAUCACCAUCAUCUUCAACCUUGGGAAGGAGAGAGAGGAGAGAGGAGAGAGAGAAUCGGCCAAGGGGAGCUCGCCCGUCGACCAGCCAGUCGUGCGCUGCUCCCCCCCCGGCGUCCGUCAUCGUCAUGCCGAGUCGUUGUUGCCACCGCGUCGUCCCGCCCCCGCCAGCCCCGCGCACACCUCUCCCUUCGCUCAGCCCCUUCGUCGCCGCGCCAGUAGCUUCGACCAUCCCCAGCAGCUUGCCACCGUCGCCCUCCGUCAGCCAAGUUGCCAGCCGUCGCCGUGAGCCACUGCCUAGAUAGCCGCGCCUCUCCUCCGCCCCUACCGCCUCUAGCCGUCACCGUUCUUCCUCUUCUUCGGCCUCAUCGUGCAGCAAGAAGAAGUGGGUCUCGCAGCCCGCAGCUCGGUUAAGGCCCGUUUUGGCCGUCUUCCCGGCCCCGAAAGCUAGGCCCGCCUUGGGAAAAGUCAAUCCCGGCGUCGCCCUCGUCGUUUUGGUUCAAGCGGCGAGUUAAUCAAGUGAGUUUACCUCACUAAACCUUGAUUAGAGUGUUAAUAAUGCCCUAAGUGUGUUUAGUUUGAAUUAAGUGAGUUUAGGUGGGUAGAUUAGUAUAUUUAAUUAUAAAUUGGGUUAAGAGGUUGGUUUAUAUUAAAGUAUGUUUAAUUAAGGUUAAAAGAUGUUAUUUAAUGUUAAGCCUUGAUGAGACAUAAUAGGAUUUUAGUUUUGAAUUAUUUAAUUGCUUCGAAAUUCUGGAAAGUAUAAUAUUAUAUUAUAAUCCGAAAUUAUUAAAAUAUUAUUUUAAAAAAACGGAAAAAAAUAUUUUUGACCCCGAUUGCUCAGAAUUUCGUGCCGAUCGCUGCUGUGUAUUUAGAAUUUAAAAUUGAUGAUUGAUUAUGGCAAAUUGAGUGUGAUUACGAUAAUUAGGGAUUCUUUAUAAGAUCCCAAGUGUCGAAAUUGAUGGGAGAUUGGCCGUGAUUGACCACCUCUUGGAAGUUGUGCCCAAAGGGGUCGUGAUGGACCACCUAUUAAAGGUUGUGCCCAAUGGGGCCGUGAUGGACCACCUAUUAGAGGUUGUGUCCAAUGGGGCUGUGAUUGACCACCUCUUGGAGGUUGUGCCCAAUGGGGCCGUGAUGAAUCACCUAUGAGAGGUCGUGCCCAAUAGGGCCUUGAUUGACCACCUAUUAGAGGUCGUGCCCAUUGGGCCGAGAUCUACCACCUAAUUAAAGGUCGUGCCGAGUGGGGCCAUGAUUGACACUGGUUAUUAAAUCUUCUUAUAGAGUUGUGAUUGGAAGCAGUAAUUGAUUUACUAGAAUGACAUGUAAUCGGCCGAGUCAAUUGAUCGCUGAGACGAUCCAAGUGAUUGAAUUGUUCUGAUAAUGUGAUUGUGCCUCAGUUGUUUGGUUUUCAGAAUUGCACGUGGUUGAAUUAUAUAAACUGUGUUAACCUGCAGAUGAAGGCUAAUGCGAAAUAAGUCUUCUUGAUGUCGUGGCUAGGCUACUCUGGGGCGUAUUUACUUUCUAAUAGGGGUUUAGGAGAGGUGAACUUGCUGAGACAAAGUCUCAUCCCGGUUUGGGGAAAAUAUUACAGGACCGUAGAUGGCGGCACCCUCGGAGAAGAGUGGCAUGCCGAUGGAGAUUCACCAGACGAUGCAGACUGCUCCUGACCCUUUUUGAUGUAUAUAGUCUCUGACCCAUUUUGGUUGUAUGUAAACCCUGAUUGACUAUAUGAAAGUAUGUUGGUUUGUAUUUGAAUUGUUUUUUUUUCUUCCUGCUGUCCUAUCCUGUAAUUUAUUUGUCAGGGGUUUCGUAAUUCGUUUCGCAUGCACAUAAUAAUUUAAAUGGGGUCGGCGACACUACCUAGGAAUGUCGCAUUUACAUGACCAUGGCGGGUUGUUCACGUGUCUCGGGGUUCGGGGCGUGACAACCACGUGCUCUAGCAUAUCAUCAAAGCCAUCAUCGCCAGUGUGGAUCAAAUGGUUAGAUUGGUUGUCGUUCAAGUAAUUGAAUUUCUCGAGUUAUUGCUUGAGCUUGCAAAUACCUAGGGCGUGGUCGCCCUCGUGGCAUCCCUCAAGGUGCUUGAGGAAAUCAAAGGCUGAUUUGGUUUGGACAUGGGAAUGUGCUAAAACGGCAUGGAUGGUGAGAAGGAGGAGCAAGUGGGAGAAGGUGGAAUGGGGAAGUCAACUAAUUUUUCUAUUUUUUGUUUUGUUUUCUGAAACAAUAAAAAAAUAGAAAUUCAUUUGGAAAAGUCAACUAAUUUUUCUAUUUCCCGAAAUAGAUCAGUGGUCAAUGAAUAGAUUUAGAAUAUAAAUAAAAAAAUAGAAAAAACUUACUUCUCUCUUCCUAGGAAUAAAGAAGAGGAAAUAAGUUCAUUUUCGAAAAACAAACUCAACGUAACCCAAUGCUUGUCCUGCCAAAAUCGACACAAAGUUCAAUCUCCUAACCUAAUCCAAGUCUCCAUUUUUCAUAAUAAAAUAAGAAAAAAACAGAAAUUUAGCAAAAUUUUUAGAAAUUAGAUUUUGAGUUGUUUUACUAGAUUUUAGUGUUAAUUCUAGUUUAGCAUAAAAAAAAGUGAAAAUAUUUUGAUGAAAAUGAAAAUUGGAUUCAAAAUUAAAUAAGCUUUUAGAGUUUUAAUAUAUGAAUUUUUGAAUGUCGUUUUCUUUUAGAAACAAGACUAUGUCGUGAAAGUUCGGCAAUUCCAAGCAACACUUGCUUGUAGCUAAAAAAACUCAAAAGGUUUAUUUACUUGUUUAUUGUAAUGUCCAAAAAUUUAUUAUCAACUUCCUUUAUAUUGUGAGUUAUAGAUUAGUGAGACUCUCUACUACCAUUUUGGGCCAAUCAUCUUUGACUAACUAUUACGUUGGAUUUUCUUAGGACAUCUUAGAAUAUCUUGAUCAAUUAAAUCAUUACAAAAGUCCCGUUUUAUUGAAAAUUGAAAUGCCAAGUCUCCACUGAUAUUUUUAUAAUUAAAUGAAAAAAAAUUGGAAAUAGAAAUUUUUAGGGUUGCGCCAGACGUAUUCCUGUUCUUUUUUUUUAUUAAGAAUAAAAAUUUUAUAUAAUUACCAAAUGCAUUCUUUUACUCAUAAACUCAUCCAAGGAAUAUACAUAGAAAAACUAUUUCCGAAUAAAAAUUAUUUCCGAAAAAAUAUAAAUGUUGCCAAAUGCAUUCUUAGGCUCCAUUUGAUAAAGUUUCAAAUUUAUUUUUUAUUUAUUUUUUAUUUUUUUGGUUCUUUUGUUCCUUCGAAUAGAAAAAUAAAAAAAAAUUAUUUGGUAAAAUUAGUUAAUUUUUCUAUUUUCUGAAGUAAAAAAAGUCCCUAGGGAAUAUAUUUAGAACAAAAAAAAGAAGUAUAAAAAAGUUGGUUCUUAUUCUUGAAAACAAUUUCUGAAAUAAGUCAUUUUCUUUCUUUUCUUCUUCUUCCUCUUCUAAUUGGUCAUCACCAUUGCCGCUGGCUAUCGGUCAUUGGUUGCUAGUUGCUGCUCACCAGCCACACAUCACCGAUCGCCAUCGGAAGAAGAGAGGAAAAAAGAAAAAUCUCAAAAAAUUAUUAAAAAAUUAAAAGAAAAUUUACAUCACAGAAAAAUUUGUGGGUUGUUUAAAAUGCAUUCCUAUUUUUUCUUUUUAAAAAUUUUGUGCAGUUAGCAAAUAUAUCAUUUUACUCAAAAACUAUUCUAGGAAAUAAAAAAAAAAAUUCUGAUAAGAAAUUGUUUUCGAAAAUAGAAAUAUUAGUAAAUGCUGUUUGAUUAACACAGUAUUCUCAGCUAGACAAAUUAAUUCGAUGAAUGUUGUUUCUGUAGUUACAUAUCUCUCAAGUGCGUCCACCUAAUACAUGAGACUUGAGAGGGUCGAAAAGUUGAAAGGUUCAUGGGGCAAGAAAAAGGUGCAACGGGACAACGAUUAUAAAUAGGUCAUCAAAGCAGACGUGUAAGGACUAGGAAGUGGAAAAUUUUAUUAUAGUAAACUCGUUCGUUAUCGUGGUGUGUACAUCUUCGUAAGACUUAGAAAAAUUGACCUAAUUAUAAGUUGAAAGUAAGCAAUGUGUGAAGGAGAAGUUGUGGGUAGUUCCAGAAGAGGUGUGUAAGGCAUUCUCAAAAGAUUUUUUAUGACCUUCAUGAUAGGACAAAAGUAGGAUAUAAAUGGAGGAAAAAGAAAAUGCGUUGUUAUCAUCAUUGAUUCAAAAGUAUUAUGGAUUGCGUUAGGUAAAAUGGGGGAAGCGUGGAACAAACUCAAACAAUCGAGCAAGAAAAAUAAAUGAUGAAAUUAAACCAACCACGAAGGAGCUACAUGAUUGGACCGGCGUGCGUACUCUCACAGGAAGAGGAUAAGGAAGAGAAUGUUCGACUAUAACCAAGAUUAAGACAAUGCAAUUGCUAGAAUUAUACCCUUAAAUAAAGUGUUUCCCGACCCAAAUUACACCUCGAUAUUUUAACAACGAUGAACAUUAGAUAAGAGAUCCCCAGGUGUUUGCUCAAACACUCUCAAUCCUGGCACUUCCUAGAUCUUUCUCUCGAGUCAGGCUUGUCGUACUGAUUAAUAAAUUUGGUCAAAAACACUUAUUUAAAAAUCAAUCCCUUGCGCCUUCGGGCAUCGACCUAAAGAGGCACGGACGUUGAAUUUCGAUAAAGUUGCGGCCCCUAUUGGACGUCUGGAAAGAGAUAUGGCUGGACAUCUGAAGUCGAAUGAUGCUUCGAGGCGCGUCCUGGUGGUCGGACGUCCGAAAAGCAAUUUCAGACCUAGGGUAGUCGAUCCAAAAUCCUCCACUUAUUCCAAAAGUCCAUCCCUUUACUUGGAACGUGCGACUUACAUCCUCGCACCCACGUAACAUCUUUUGCUCACUCCGGGUGCCCUUGAACUCCACUUCGAGUCGGUUCCAAUCUAAACUAGGUCCAAUUUUUUAGCCCCAUUCAAUUGACUUAAAAGAUUAUUCUUUGAGAAAACCCAGAAGAGAGUAAAUUCACGAUAGAGAAUUCAAGAACAAAAGAUAGGUGGACGUGAGUUUUUUGUUUGUACAGAAAUAAAACGAAAAUAUAUUAUUGCAUACGACAGACAUGGCACUCCGUUCUGUGAAUGCUUAUCAUAUAUGUGCUUAUUUAACUCGUAGUUGGUUAUUUUCACUCAAAAUACACCUUUUGAAAUAAGAUAGAAGCACAAGAGGGGGACAAAGUCCGAGUGUAUUGUUAUGGCCCGAUUUGGGUAUAGACACAAAAUGAAUGUUCAUACACUAGUAUAAAUAGAGCAUAGACACCGAAUGAACGUUUAACAGUGAACUUUUCUUUUAGUCCAAUUCGAACGACCCGAAAGCAGAAAACGUGUUGAUGUAAACUUGUCAUGAAAGCAAGAUGUGAACAUUUGACAUUAUUCUUUUACUAGUGAACUCGAAGACAAAUGUCUAGAUGUAAUGAUUGACGACAUUAUGAUUAAUUGUUGAGUUUACACCCUCGUAAUGGCCUAAAAAACACGCGUGACUUAGCCAAGUCAAUUAUUUUAGUAACGUUCAGAGCCUAAACAUCCUCCACUUAAUAUGCUCAAGUGAAAGAUAGAAUAUAUACCGUAACCUAGUCAAACGCCGUACAAUGUUUUGAUUCCCUGAACAUCAUCGCCAUGCAAGCCCUUGCUGACUCCGGGACUUAUGGUGGGAUACAUUAUGGCACCCGCGACUGAGCUAUGCCCUAACCCAAGAAGAUGGCCGAUCUCAUGCAAAGCCACGGUCUCCAAGUCGUAGGAACCGCGGACUGGACCCACGGACCACGGCUCGUCCCCGUCGUAGUGGAACACACCGAUGGUCGGUUGAAACGCGUGGGCUAUGACUCCACUGGGGCCGUCGAAUGGGGCGCCGUCGCCAUGGUCCCUCCUCGCAAACGCAAUCUUGAUGUCCGCGGACUCAUAGUUUUGGGAUUGGGAGAAUGUGAAGUGCGUUGCAGAAGCCCACGUCUUGAAAGCCCGCGAGACGGGGCCUAACACGUCGUCCUGGGUCCCAGGAUCUAAGGCAUAGGUGAGGUGGUACUUUGAGGAUGGCCAUUUGGGACUUCCAUCGAAGAAAGUGAAGUGGCCAACGGUGUGGAAUUUAUUCGAGCCGUGGUGGGUCGUUCUCUUGCCGGACCGCAUCCGCGAGGUGCCGUUGACGAUGUCCGCCACGCCACACCGAGGUGUCGUCAUCAUAGCCACCGUUUGGGAAUCUAAGUUCCCGGUGACCUUCAUGUGAUAGUUUAGUUGGUAGGUCUUGACGGCGGACUCCAAAAGCUCAUCAAAGUCCUCAUCGUUGGCGUGGCCUUGGAGGUUGGAUUGGUUAUAGUUUAAGUACCCAAAUUUUUCGAGGUAUUGCUUGAGCUCCUGGAGGCCCUUGACCUUGUCCCCUUUGUGACAUCCUUGGAGAUGCUUGAUGAACUCAAAGGGGUUUUUUUUUUGGUCAUCGGAGUGGGCUAAGACCGAUUGGAAGAAGAGAGAAGAAACAAGAAGCAGGCAUGAGAUUGUGGACAAGAACUUAGGAUAUGCCAUUGCGGAAAUUCUCGAGAGAUUACACUUUGCUUUGGAUGGUACUCUGUGUGCAUUUGCCAUCCCUCGCGAGAUUCUAUUUAUAGGCUUUAUCCAGUUGUGGAAACAGAAGAAAGUUCUUGGCAUCGUGUCGCUCACGGCCAUAACAGGGUCGUGACUCGUGAGGAGAGAGAGAACGAGUCAACUUUGUGAAAUGUUCAGUUAUUCACCACUCUUCAGGUCUUCGCAAAAUGACAAUCUAGAAAACGUGGUUACCGAUCUUCUGGAUGGUCUGGAUGCUAAUGAGAAGCUUCUGAGGGGUCGAGCAGACACCUGCCUAACAAAAGACCUUCACAGUCGUCUCCUCUAUAGCUAUUAUCUAUUUAAUCCUUUCAUUAUAUUCCUAGCAAUGUUUAUAGUAUUGUCAUAUUGUUAUUUAGAAAAAUGGGCACCAGCAGCAAAUUCCAUGAACCAACAUAAACGCGUCGUUUAGAUUACACAUUCGCUGGCUUUGAUUAUUCUAUUCACAGUGGACAGAAUAGAAUUGCUUUUUGUUUUUCACCCCAUUUGCUUUUUGUAAAAUUGUGCUAAAAGAUAUACAGUCAAAGCAAGCCGGUCUUGGAAACUUUGACUUUGCCUUUGCCUUUGCUCCUCGGAGAAGUUAAUGUUGGCUUACUAAGCAUGCUAAGAGCAUUUUUUGUAACAAUUCUAUUUUCGGAAAUAAAUUCUGAUUAGAAAUGAUUCUUUUUUAAUCUAUUCCUAUGAAUUAUUUCUAAGUAUUUUAAGCCGUUUGAUAACUGUCCAAAAUUUCUGAUAUUGGAAUAUAAUUGUGUUUGGUAUCGUGCUCAAGAUUUCUACUCCAAAUCAUUUUCUUUUAAUUUUAAAUAUUUUAAAUUUUUUAAAUUUUUUUCUUUUUUUUCUUUUUUCCCUUUCUCUCUACCAAACGAGAGCAAUGACCUCACUAGAGCAUCACUGGCUCUCAGUGAGGCCGGCCCUCGUUGGCCAAGCCUCGCUGGGGCUAGGCGAGCCUCACCGAGGCUGGGCAAGGCCCGCUUGGCCAUUGGCGAGGCUCGGCCAUAUCGCGAGCCUCGCCGGUGGUUGGGCUUGCCUUCGACGAGCUUGCCGGAUCGGUUGCCGGCAACCGACGAUGGUGAGUGGCAAACAGCAACCGUGGAAUGACGGUAGAUGAAGAAGAAGAAAAAGGAAGAAGAAGAAGAAGAGAAAUAUGGUCUUGAUUCUUAGAUUUGUUCUCGGGAAUAAGAAUCAAUUUUUUAUUUAUUAUUAUUCUUGAUUCUAUUCUAAAUCUACUUCCGAGAACAAAAAAAUAAAACUUUGUUCCCGGGAAUAAAAUUUUUAUCAAACACGAUUCUGUUUCCAAACUAUUCCGGAGAACAAAAAAUCAGAAUCAAGUACUAUUUUGAUGGUUAACAAACAGGCCCUAAGAAGCUUCCUAGGAGCCUAUGAGCGAUUGAAGUGAUUCGUGGCUUGCAAUCUUGUUCCAUUUAAUUAAUAAUUAACCUUGAUUUUAAGAAAAAAAAAUAUAAAAUGGGGAUGAUAAUCGUGAGAAUACUAAUUAACGAUCCUGUUCAAUUCCCCUUGUACAAUUCCUCCCUUGCAACUGCUAACGAAGAAAAAUUCGGCUCCUUUCAUGUAUGAACGUGUUGACACGAAAAAAUGCCAAGUCUUUGACCAUUGACUUGGACUAGAAGAGAAUGAACACAAUUCGACCGAAGAAAAAUUGGCUGAGCGUUGAAAUCUUUUAGUUGGCAAAUUUAGUUAGUCGACAAGAAAACUAGUUUUAACUGACAGAAAAUACGAUUUUAAAAUAAGUAAGUUUAGGAGUACACUGGCGACAAGCAAGGUUGACUCCGUGACAAAAGGCCACGAAUGAUGUAGCUGUUGACAGAGUGAUGAUGGAGUAACCAUUUAAGUGUUGGAGCCAACAGUUUUGAAUGUAACUUGUCAUGAAGAUAACCGCAAAAGGGGGAGCUUAAUGCAACCAUCGAGUAGUGGAGUUAAGAAGUUCGUGAGAAACUGAUUGUGACAAUUGUAGAGAAGUGGAGGAGAGACAUAACUGUCGAAGUAGUGGGGAUGACACAACUGUUAAUGUAGUGAAGACAUAGCUGUCAAAAUGACAGAGUGGAUUCCUUUUGUAAAUGAAGAUUGCUGAAUUGUAAGAGUCAUGUGAGGUGUGUUCUUUCCUUCUUCUUUUUUACUGUUGUUAACUAUCAUCAGUAGGUAGAGACACUUGUACUGUAGUUUGUAGAAGAAAAUGUUGAUCAAUUAAAAAAAACCAGCUGUUCAAUUUUAUUUUCCUGUUUAUAUUUAAAUUUCCAGCACCUUUACAUUAUUGGACAUGAUUGUCUUCACUCUUAGUACUUUUAACUUUCUUGUUGUUUGUGUUGCCUAUCCAAGAAUUAAGAAAGGACCUUUCAUGUGGCAUGGUUUAUAUCUUUUUGCUAUUCGGAAAGGAUGGACUCAUACCUUCAAGUGGAAGAGGACUCAGGACAUUUGGCAUAUGUUCGUCUGGAACAACGAAAUUAUACCACGGUAUCAAGUAAACCUUUGGCUUAUAGCUAAGCGCAAGUUGCCCACCCAGACUCGUUUAUUGUCGCAUGGUAGAAUAGAUAGCGGUGCUUGUGCCUUCUGCAACAAUGUACCUGAUUCUAUUGACCAUCUAUUUUUUGGGUGUCGUGUCACGGCCGAGGUUGCCUUCUUUUGGAUGGCCAAAUGCAACCUGCAUGGCGUAACAGGGCAUGGGAGGAUAAUCUCCGUUGGGCCACCAUCAUGCUUAUGGGAAAGGAGUUUUAUAAGUGCAUAGCUUGAGCUGUGUCAUAUUAUUUGAAACAACAGGAACAUCAUUCUCUUCAGAGAACAGCCUCUUUUUGUCCUGGCUAUGAAGAACCAUCUCUUUAAAGUGGUCAAAGAUAAUGCGAUCACUGUUAGAAAUGUUGAGGAUAACAUCAGGAAUAGAAGGCUACAAUGGAGCUGGGGCAUUGACCUGGUCAUCUUUUCUAGGGAGCGUUAAUUCCCUUCCUUUCAUCUUGAGGAUGGUUCUCUCCCUAUCGGAGGGCGUUUUGUAUAUGUUCACCAGUUGUUCAUGCUGUGCUUUUCCUUUCUAGUUGUUAGUGGGUUGCCGUGACUGUGGCUUUUAUAUCCCGGCAUCCUUCCACUCAUUAUGAUCUGGUGUUUUGAGUGUGGGUUUUGAUGCCGUGAUCUUUUUGUUCAGUUGAUCUUUCAUCAAUAUAUUUAUUACCUUUCAAAAAAAAAGAAAGAAAGGAUGGACUCAUAAAAAUACUUUUUCUUUUGCCAAUUGUUUCCUAUAAGUUACAAUUUAGUAAGAUCACUCUAUUCCUGUACUUAGUUGCCUCAUCUGGUGUCUCUACUUCAAUUCUUUUGUUGACUACAUUCGCCCUUCCAUUGCAGGUCGAUCCGCUUGAGCUCCAACUCAGUACUUUUAAUUUUCUCGUCGUUUGUGUUGCCUAUCCAAGAAUUAAGAAAGGACCUUUCAUGUGGCAUGGUUUAUAUCUUUUUGCUAUUCGGAAAGGAUGGACUCAUAAAAAUACUUUGUUCUUUUGCCAAUUGUUUCCUAUAAGUUACAAUUUAGUAAGAUCACUCGAUUCCUGUACUUAGUUGCCUCAUCCGGUGUCUCUACUUCAGUUCUUUUGUUUACUACAUUCGCCCUUCCAUUGCAGGUCGAUCCGCUUGAGCUCCAAUUUCAUUACUCCCCCACCCCCCCCCCCCCCCCGUCCGGCAACUCCUAUCACCAAAAAAAGAAAAAGAAAAGAAUCAUUUAUAAAGUCUUCUUAGACAAGAAAAAUCUCCAUUACUAGUACUAGCCAAAAUUUGCUAUGAAGCCGGGGGAUAGUACUCAAAGCCUUGUUACAGAGCAAGUAUAAUACUAUAACACAAUAAAGUACUACUAUAUGCCAUGACCAAAUUCAUAAUUCUUGCAUGAACAUUAGCGGAUCUGGAUGCCGGUUAGAACCGUUUGUGGAUCUUCCAUUUGCUCGGGCGAAAUUUCCCCUUCUUUUGCUUAACAAAGCCAUCGUUAUAAGCUUCAAACUCAGCCAAUCUUCCACGGGCUUUGUUCUUUUUAUAAUCCCUCUCCGACACUGUUUCGACCUUCUGCUGAGGAAGAUCAUCCAGACAGUGGCCGAGCGGAGCCCCGUUUCAGGCUCUGUAGAUCGGCACCGACACUGCUUCAACCUUCUGCCGAGGAAGAUUGUUCUGGUUCUGGCCAAGCAGAGCCCACUUCCGGAUUCGUUAAAGGCCCGCCCAUUCUUAAAAGUAAUCAUCGGAGGUGGUGUUCCCGCCAGUUAUACGCCUGGGAGUAUUGUCGAAUCUUUGAUGCAUGAUUCUCAGUUGAGGUGGUACAGUGAAGGAAGUUCCAUUUAUAGAUGAAGGGUGAGAUACUUCUGCUAUGUUCUUGAGGUGACAUUAGUGGCAUCUGAUUCCGAUACCAUAAAGUAGAACAGCAAAGCAAGAACAUGCGUGGAUGGAACCCAGAAAUACGGGGAUAUGGAAGGCGUCUUGGAGAUUGACGUUUUGAAGUUGAUGAUUAAUUGGGUUGACAUGCGUUAGAAGAAGCAUCGCUCGGCUUUCAAUAGUAUCUUUGCGAAAACUAGGAUUGAGCUAUAAAGGACCCUUCGAGAUCAAUCGGGUGGCUUUACUUAUACAUUGUGUAGAGUGUCAAGAUUCUGAUAAUAGCUUGUGAUGGUACGGUUGCGACUAGUUCAAACUUCACAAGCAAAAUCCCAUCCUCCAUAUUGUAGAAGGGAGUCAAAGUUGUAUAAGAUACAUUAUAUGGAUUGUAGCGGACCUUAAAAAUAAAUGAUACGUAUAAAUCGAAGGAAAUUAUGACCAAAUAGUAAAUGCUUCCCUUGCUCAAAACCCACAAAGAGAAUCAAUUCAAACCCCUGAUCAAAAGUUGUAUAACGCCUUGAUUCCUUGAAUAUCAUCCGCAUGGAGACCUUUGGUAGUCCCAGGAGCUAUGGAGGAGUACAUGAUGGCCGCUUCAACAUCGCUGUGCCCUAGCCCAAGGAGGUGACCGAUCUCGUGUAAAGCCACCGUCUCCACGUUAAAAGCGGCCGAGCCGGAGGGUGGAUCAACAGCCCACUUCUCAUCCGCGUCGUAGUGGAACAGCCCGCUUGUUGGCGGAAACGCGUGCGCAAGAGUUCCUCCGGGGCCAUCGAAGCUGUUGUGUGCACCGUCUCCAUGGUCUCCUCUUGCAAACCCUAUCUGUAUGUUGGCAAAUUGAUGGUCCUGGACGUACGAGAAAGUGAAGCGUGUCACCGAGGUCCACUUGGCAAAAGCCCGGGCAACUGGGGCCGUGGCAGCCUCUGGGGUCCCUGGGAGGAAGCCAUAGGUGAGAUGGUAAUUAGAGGCCGGCCAUCUAGGGCUUCCCUCCAAGAACGCAUAGUGAGACACGGUAUGGAAAGAUCCGAUCCCACGGAGGUUCCGCCCUUUCUUUCCGAACCCCAUGCGGGUGGUACCAUUAAUGAUGUCCGCCACGCCGCAUCACGGUCUCAUCAUUUUGGACGUAGUCUGGGGAUCUAAGGUUCCCGUGACAUUCAGAUGAUAAUUGAGUUGGUACGUCUUAACAGCAAAUUCUAACAAGUCAUCAAAAUCGUCGUCGUCGGCAUGGAUUGUCGGAUGACCGGAUUGGUUGUAAUUCAAAUAACCAAAUUUCUCGAGGUAUCUCUUGAGCUCGCGAAUGCCUCCGGUAUGAUCGCCCUUGUGACAUCCCUGAAGGUGCUGGAGGAACUCAAAGGGCGAUUUCAUUUGGUCAUCUGAAUGUGCUGAAGCGGCGUGAAAGAGGGAAGUGAGGAGGAGCAAGUAUGAGCAGGUGGAAAAGAACAUAGCAUCCAUGGCUGAACUGAUGAACGCGCACUCUUCUAGCAGAGAAUGAAUGUUAUGUGCGUUGUUGCCGUAUCGAAGGAGGCCUAUUUAUGGAUACAUGCCCCUUUUGAGGUGUAGCAGUAGCUAGGUCAUAAGGUCCCGUUGAAAUUGAAAUGUUCAAGCAUGGAAGAAACCGCAAGUACGUACUAACAGACAACGACCGCAUCGAUCUUCGAGAAAAACGCGUAUAAGACUGGGAAUUCGAGGAAAGAAACCCUGAGUACGGUACUAAAAACGACCUUUACUAGGUCUUUGAGAAGAAGACGUGUAAGACUGGGAACCGAAGAAGUAAUAUUGUUAGAACUCAAUUGUUAAUUUUAUGUAUUUCAUAGAGACAGCCUCGCAGACAUUGACCUAGUCUUUGAUCCCCACUUAAGUAUCGCGAGCCAAACACAAUGCUGAAUAAUUCAAAAGAAUCGGCACGUGGGAUUCCUAUAUUGCGUGUGAAAAGCCACAAAUGCUGUAUAGGUGCAUUCUAUUUUAAUUAAACGCAAGUAGUCCCUGAACUUUCUAAUAUGUAAUAUAAUUCCCAAAUAUUAGUAUAAUGUACAAUGUCAUUUUUAAACUUUUAAUUUGUUCAAUAUAGUUCUUAAACUAUAAGUAAAUGUUCAACAUAAUCCUUUUGUUUGCAUGAUUUUCAUGGAAUUUAGGAACUAAAUUGAAUAUUUACCAAUAGUUUAAGGACCAUAUUGAACUAAAAGCUUAAGGAUGAUAUUAUACAUUGGACCAAAAUUCAAAGACUACAUCGAACAAAUUAAAAGUUCAAAUAUGACAUUGGACAUUUAAUCAAUUUUCAAGAAUCAUUUAUGUAAUCAUUCCUUCCAUUAAAGAUGCGGUGUACUACCGAUGAUAGUGCAAAUCAAUCUAUAAGAAAAUUUGUGUUUUUAGUGGGACCCUCUAUGAAUUCUAUAUCUCCUUAUGCGAUUAACUUGAUUGAGGAUAAGGCAAUGUUGAGAUAACUAAUUAAUCAUCAGUCUACCAUCAUAUGGAGCAACAGCCACCGCCCCUUAGCAUUGUUUUUUUUUUUUUUUUUUUUGGGUCAAAGGAAGUUUUAUUGAACCAAAACGGUCUUAAACAUUCAGGCUUAGAAUAGGAGCAUCAAGACAAAGCAAGUCCACAGUGGCUGAGGGGCUGUGCUACCCAAUUAGGAAGUAAAAGGUUGAGUUUUUAAGUUUGGCAACCCAAUCCUUUACUCGGUUACUCUCAACUACAAUAGACAAUCGUCGGAUUAAUAAAAAGGCCCAUUAAGUCACGGUUUCCCGAGAUAAGCACAUUGACUUCCCAAGGCAAGUGAUCUGCUGCGCUCUUCACUAGAUCAUCUAACACCAAGCGAUCUGACUCCAGUUGCAGCUGUUCUUCACUUCUAGACACGAGGAGAGAGAGGGCUUCUGGCAAAGCAACGGUUUUCGCCUGUAGAGUAGAAGACAGACACCAAUACUAUUUUGGCUGCUCUGUCCAAGAGAUUCCCCAACUCAUCACGAACGACGCAAGCUAUGGCUCUAGGGGUCUCUCCUUCCUUAUACAAUCCAUCACAAUUCAACUUUAAAGUUCGCCCCUUUGGUGGAAUCCAACUUAGAGAUAAGUUCGUCUUCUCUACUUGACUCAUCGAUUGCUCAAGGUUCCAUCGUCUCCAGUUGUUGGGCAUAUUGUGUGUUGAUUCCACUAGAAAAAUUGGAUUUGGACGCUGGUUGCGAAAAACAAAAUCACAUCUUGCCUUCCAGAUAUAUCACAAGACACUUGCAACCAUCUUAAAGGAAGGUGGAUGCUCAGUUCUCACUCUAAAUUGCUGUAUCCAAACAUCAAUCCUUGACAGCACUUGCCUUAAGAUUAUACUUUGUAAUGUAGGGUAACUCCAUAUCCGUGAAGUCCAGGAACAUAGCAAGAAUAGGUGCUCUACCAUCUCGGCUUCAUGUUCACAGAAUGGACACGUGGGUCUUCUGAAUUAGUUUUCUCUAGUAGGUAUAGCGUUAUGACAAAUACUCCAUGUGAAUAUUCUGACUUUGGGAGGGCUUUUCAUGUGCCAAAUUUUGUUCCAAUGCUCACGAGGUGGCUGAGUAGAUGUUGACGCUUGCUUUUUUGUGCUCUGAAUGGUGGCUGUUCUAUCCAUAUUAUACACGCUCUUCCUUAUGAACCAGCCUGUUUCUGUACCAAUCCAUACUAACUCGUCUUGUGUGCUCUGGCUUCUCAGUAGGAUUGUUAAUAUUUUGUUAACAAUUUGGACAUCAAACAGACAGUGCAGGGUCUGUUCGUCCCAUCGAAUCUCUUCUUUCAAAAUCAAAUCCACAACUUUUGUUGGUUCUCUACAAUUUGCUGGCCUCCAAUGAUUCCUCUUUUGAGCCAUCUAUCUUCUUCAAUACUCAUACUUUCACCCGUUCUUAUUGACGGGAGAAGUACACCAUCAGUGCUAUAAGUUAUGUAUAGCAUUUACUUUGGUAUCAAAAGUUUCUAUCGGAUCACUUAAGUGCCAAAAUUUUUGAAAAACAAUCAUUUUGGUACCACCGCCAAUUUGGUUGGCCGGAAAUCCAACGUGGCAGUUUUUUAUUAAUUUUUCAUGCCAACGUGGAUCGGCGGAGAAUACAAUCAGCAUACAAAGAACAAAACGACGUUGUUUACUGUUUUCCCCCAAAUAAAAAACCCUAAAUCCCCAAUUUUGACUAGAACUGGAAGUUGAAAACCAUAAAUCCCCAAUUCAACUAUUUCGAGUGCAUACUUCAAUUUUCUCCCAAAGUUAUCAUUUCACUCUUGCAAAUGUAGGACAUAAGCUUCAGCAGCGGCUCACAUUCCUAUAAGAAAAGCGAAUUAGACGGUGAGUGUUAUUGUUAUUGUGGGUUACCGAGUUCGAGAAGAACAUCUUGGACUUGGUUGAAUCCCGAGAGAAGAUUCCAUGGGUGCGGCAGAUAUAGAAAAGGCUCAAAGUGCCAAUAUUUCAAAUGGGUUGAUAAGAAAUUCUCUGAUUGAGCGACAUAGGUGAUAUUGGAGUUACUUGAAGGCCGAAAUCAACUAUCACCUAAGAUAAUGAACAAGUUGGAGAAUGUCGACUCAAAGCAAGCUCAAAUGAAGGGUUUAACAUCUCUGGUGGACCAUUUGAAGAGGGAGGUUUCAAUGCUGAAAAUUGAAAGAAACUUUUAUCAAGCGUUGAUUGUGUUCUUAUUCUCUUGGGUAGUUUAUUCAAAUAUGAAGUGACUAAUGAUAAGAAAUUUGUAUGUCUACCAUAGUCGAAGACGUGAAAUAUGCACUUGUAUUUGAUUAUUUAUAAAUAAAAUAAGUUUUUGGUUUGCUGCAAUUUUUGUAUGGAGCAGAAAGUUUUGUUGUUGUAAUCUAUGGUAAAAAUACAAGAUUGGACUUGGGAUGUAUUAAUUGUUAACACUUACAAGUUUCGUUAUUUAGUUGUGUAUUGUCAAUAUUUGUUUUGGUUAGUUUUUGCUUCAAAUAUAAUGGUUUGCUGGCUUGCUACAACUGCAAAUCAUGGCUCAAUGGAAUGUGCUUUUGGAAUACAUUAGUUGUGAGCACUUAAAAAUUUUAUUGUUUAGUUGUGUAUUGUCAAUAUUUAUUUUGGUUAGUUUUUGCUUCACAUAUAAUGGUUUGCUGCAUAAAUUUGGUAUCUCUUUGCUGGUUUGUUGGUUUGCUAGUUUGCUGGUUUGCUAGUUUGAUGCAACUGCAAACCAUGGCGAAAUUAAGGGAUUGUGGCAAAUUCACGAUUGACUAUUUCAGUGCCAUAAGUUGUAAAAUAGUGAUCGCUUGAGUAUAAAUUUUUUAUAAAAGUGAUCAUUUAAGUGUCAGUCGCGAUUACAAAGUGAUCACUUGUAUUGCACAAGUUUUUUAAAAAAGAACAUGUUAGUGCCAAACGUCACUUGACUUGCACCUUGUUCUUGCACCAGUUAGGUUGCUGGCGCAUCUUCUUACACCAGCCCAUACAAGUGUUGAUGUAACAAAAUGUACCAGCAUCCAAAAUGUUCUUGUAGCAGCACAUAUAACCAGAACCUCACAAAUUCAUUAUAAUCCACAAUCUCAACCAGCAAUGGCAACAUUGCAGCAACAACAAAAAUAAAUAUAUAACAUAACUGACUUGCUAGCAUUCUAGUCGAAACCAACACAGGAGAAAAUAGUCAUUCUAGUACUUAUCAUUAACAUUGAUUGAUUGUUUACAAAAGAAAAGAAAAACAUGUCUAACUUCACUCCCCAAUUACCGAAAGUUCAACACCUUCUUAAAAAAAAAAAAAAAACAAUGGUAAUAUGCAGGCAACAACUACCAUCAAUGAUAUAAUAUCCAGCACCUUCCUAAAAAAAGAAAACAUGAAAAGAGACCAUGUCCAGCACCCUUCCAUCAGUUAAUAUUAACAACACCCCGAUCUCCUUUUCCUCUUAGAGCUUUGAAUUGAUUCAUAAUUCGAGCACUCUUUUGAACUAGAUGUGCAGGUUCUUUAACUGGGCUUUCUAUCAUCUCUUUUUCUUUUUCCUUGUUUUUGACAGCGGCUAUUUUUGUUCAAGCAUGUGUCAUAUGUUGGUCCAUAUCAUCACUACUACUCCAAAUCGUUGGUUGAGAUGGAACUGGUGCUGGGUUCUUUUUGGAUGGUUGUUUCGUAGCUAUACCCGAUGUCUUCUUCUUCUUUGGAACACUCUUCUUUGGCUACGCCCUUGAUUUUUCUAUUCCGUCCCCAUAAAACAUCCCCACCACUUUCUCCACUGCUUUCCCUCUGAGGUGAGCCCUCAAUUUACCCUCCGCACCCUAACUUGCUCAUCGAAACCCUAAAUUUUUUCACUAAAUUGACCAACGUAGAGAACAUGACAAACCUCAGUGAGUGAGAGUUGGCGACGCAACCAGCAAACAACCAUGAACAACGGUGCAACUACAGUGGUGGCCGAGCGAUGGCGGCGAGCGAACAACGGUGGGUGAGCGACGAUGGGUGAGUGAGCUACAGCAGAUGUCGAGAACCGUAUAUGAACCCUAUUUUACUCUCUCUUCAGCGAAGUUAUUUUUUGCUAUGGAGUAACGCGGCGUUGUUUCUUAUGUGAAUCCAUGGCAGAUGGCAAGAAACGACGUCGUUUCUUACGAAGAAAGGAAAACGGUGUCGUUUUAUGCCAUCCACCGAGGACAAUCUUAAGCCACGUCGAUUUUUUUUUUUUAAAUAUAAAAGCCACGUAAUCAUUUUGGCCAGAAUUUCUCACCGGUGGCACCAAGUGAUCGUUUUUUCUCCGAUUUGGCACUUAAGUGAUCUGACGGAAACUUUUAGCAUCAAAGUGAGCGCCGUACACAACUUAUUGCACUGAUAGUCUACUUCUCCCUCUUUUUGACCACAUCACUGAAGGCUAAAUAGUUUCACGACUCUUUAAAAUGCUCUGCCAAUCCCAUGAGGGUUGUGAGCCUUUCCUUGCGUUACAAAAGGAACAUUGAGAGAAAUACAUUUCUUUCAAGAUCUGGCAUCAUAAAGAUGAUGAAUUUUGAGCUAACCUCCAAGCUUGUUUCCCUAGUAAGGCUUUGUUAAAGGAGAUCAAAUCUCGGUAUUCCAUUCCUCCUGAAUCUUUCCUCAUUUUUAACACAUCCCACUUCUUCGAGUGUUGUCCAUCUUCUGAUUCACUAUUCCUCCACCAAAAAGCAGCAACUUUUUCCUCAAUGGUUUGGCAUGAUAAAAUAGGAAUUUUAAAAAUAAAUAUAGCAAAUUGUGGCAAGCUUGUACCACAGCCUUAAUUAAUAUUUCCUUUCCUGCUUUUGACAACAAGUUCUCCCUCCACCUCUCAAGCUUUGUAUUAACUCUAGCUAGAAUCCAAGCAAACAUAUGCAUUUUAGAAACUCCCCAAUCAAACAGGAUCCCCAAGUACUUCCUUUCUUUUCUACUUCAAGCACUCUCAACUCAUUGCUCAUAACUCUCCUCAAGUUCUGUGGACAGCCCACACUAAAAGAAAUACUAAACUUGUUUUAGUUAAUUGCUUGCACAGAAGCAUAGCAAUAUUAAUUCAGAAUUGAAGCUAAGUUCUGGCACUUUUUCACCUUUCCAUCUAAGAAGAAAAUCAAGUCAUUAGCAAACAAGAGGUAUGAAAGAACAGGACAAUACUUGUUAAGUUUGAUCCCUUUGAUUGUGAAAGACCACCCGGUUCCUGUACUGAGAUGCUUCAUCCAGUGUCUCUACGUCAAUUCUUUAGUUUACUAUAUUUGCCAUUCCUUUGCAGGUCGAUCCGUUUAAGCUCCAAUCCAUAACUUCCCUCCAGUUUGUAGGAAGUUCAAUUUGUGAUGAAUCAGAUGUUUGUCUUUCCUCAGAACAUAAAUUCAUUUAUAUAGUGUGUAUCCCUAGACAUGAAAAUCUCUUUUUGCUAUCAAGCAGAGGGACAGUGCCCAAAGCCUUGUUACAUAGCAACCGUAAACUACUGUGUAAGAAAGUAUAACACUCACUUUAACACUGUAAAGUACUACUACAUGCCAUGACCAAAUUUAACAACACUAGUGCAUUUGGAUGCCGGUUAGAACUGUCUGAAGGUCUGCCAUUUGCUCAGCUUAAGCUUCGCCGGCUUUUGCCCAGCAGAGCCAUCAGCAUUAGCUUCUAACUCAGCAGAUCCUCCACGGUCUUCAUUCUUUUUAUGGUCCCGCUCCGACACUGCCUCGACCUUCUGCCGAGGAAGAUCAUUCUGGUACUGGCCGAGCAGAGCCCCGUUUUGGACUUCGUUGGAGGCCGGUUCAUUCUUGAAGGCUCUGUACACGUUCGGGUAUUGAGGGAUAUCGGGAUUGACGCUAAGCGUCUUUGAAAUUCUCGAGAUGUGUUCGAGGUAAUCAUCGGACGUGGUGUUCCAGCCAGGGAUGGAACUGGGAGUAUUUCCUAAGCUUCGACGCAUGUUUUCGCCUUUGCAGUGGUAUAGCGAAGGAACUUCCAUUUAUACGUGAAGGCGUGAGAUGCUUGUGCUAUAUUCUUGAAGUGACAUUGACGGCAUCUGAUUCCCUUUUCUAUAUUUGAAACAAGGAACAAGAACAUGUGCGGAACGUACCCAGAUAUAGGGCGGCGUCCAAGGCUCCUUGGAGAUUUAUUCCUUGACCGAUACGUCAUAAACUUGACACUUAAUCGUGUCAUAAUGCCCAGAUAUUUUUUUUUCCCUUUUUUGUCUCUAGAAGAUGCAUCACUUGGUUUUAAUAUCCUUUUAAAAGUACCAGAAAUAUAUUUGAGAGAUGAUAGGCGAUUCUGCGUAUUUCCUUAUUAUCCUAUAAAGCUUAUAGAUAGACCCGUGUAUUUUCAUUUGAUAAUGAACAGAAUAUUAUAUUUUUCUAUCAUUACAAUCUUCAACUCCAAUGUCGUAUGCGAUAGAUUUUAUCUAUAGCAACAAAAAGUAAAGAUAAACAAUACGGAUAAUCGAAGACAAUUUUGACCAAUAGUAAAUAUUCCCCUUGCUCAAAACCCACAAGAGAUUCAAUCUAAUCCACUAGUCAAAAGUCGUAUAAAGCUUGACCACUUGAUAUGUAGGAGCUCUGAAAGAGUACGUGAUGGACCCUUCAGCACCGCUGUGCCCUUGCUCGACGAGGUGACCGAUCCCGCGGAAAGCCACGGUCUCCAAGUCCAAAGCGGGCGAACCGGAGGGUGGAUUCACCGCCCACCUCUCGUCCGCGUCGUAGCAGAAUGGCCUGCUAGUUGAUGGGAAAUCAUGGGCAAUAGUUCCUCCGGGCCCUUUGAAUCUGUUCUCCAUGCCACAGGUGAGAUGGUAAUUAGAAGCCGGCCACCUAGCGAUUCCCCACAAUUAUCAAUGAGGGCAUGAUUAGAAGAAAAAAAUAGAAUCAUUAAAUCCCACAAUAGCCUAUCGAAAAUGCUAGUGCUGGUAUUUCUCUAAACUUGUCCAUAAAAAAUUCAUGAAAUGAUUUAACUUUUUCUCUGGAAUCUCUCAAAAAAGUUGUUCCAAACGAAUUCUUAGUAACUUCGCGAAUGUGCUUUUUGCCUUAUUCAAGCAAGGGCAGGGAGGAUGUUAGGAGUUUUGCAUGUUGUCUUAGAAUGUUUCUCACCAUUGUAAAUCCGAUCAUUUAAAGGAUUAAUAAUGUCUUGAAAGACUAAUUACGAUCCCAUGCCAUCCAAAAAACAAGGGACUGAUUCCAGAGGCUGAAGCAACAUCAGCCCGAGCAUUUAGCUUCUCCUAAUGUUUUCAACUUACUAUGUUCUUGAUUUCUAAAUUAGAAAUAAUAAUUAUAAAUAAAAAAAAAGACAAUCCUUAUACAUGUACGCCACGUUUCUGAAAAUUGCAAAAUAAUUCCUAUUUGUAAGAAUAAUUAUGACGAGUUAAUGUUUCGGUGUCUUGACUACACUGACACUUUAGAUUUGGUACUAUGCGAUUGGCCAUUUGGGGUUUCCCUCAAAGAAUUUGUAGUGGGACACCGCAUGGAAGGAGCCGAGGCCAGGGAGGUUCUGGCCUUUCUUGUUGGGCUCCAUCCAAGUGGUCCCAUUGACGAUAUCCGACACGCCACACCGCAGCAUCAUCAUUUUCAAAACCGUCUCAGGAUCCAAGGUUCUAGUAGCAUUUAGAUGAUGAUUGAGCUGAUAUACCUUGAUGGCAUCCUCUAGCAAAUCGUUGAAGUCGUCAUCACCGGUGUGGACUGAAUGUUCAGAUUGGUUGUAGUUCAAGCAGUGUUUAGAUGAUGAUUGAGUUGAUACAUCUUGACUACAUGCUCUAGCAAAUCGUCAAAGCCGUCAUCGCCAGUGUGGAUCAAAUGGUCAGAUUGGUUGUUCAAGUAAUCGAAUUUCUCAAGUUAUUGCUUGAGCUCGCAAAUACCUAGGGCGUGGUCGCCCUCGUGACAUCCCUCGAUGUGCUUGAGGAAAUCAAAGGCUGAUUUGGUUUGGACAUGGGAAUGUGCUAAAACGACAUGGAUGGUGAGAAGGAGGAGGAGCAAGUGGGAGAAGGUGGAAUGGGGUUUGUUAGGUCAUGUUUAGUGACGUUUCCAUUCCCCUAUUUUUCUAUUUUUUGUUUUAUUUUUUGAAACAAUAAAAAAAUAGAAAUUCAUUUGGAAAAGUCGACUAAUUUUUCUAUUUCCUGAAAUAGAUUAGUGGUCAAUGAAUAGAUUUAGAACAUGGAACCCUCAAUUUUUAUAUUCUGUCCCCAUAAAAGCGACAUACCCACCACUUUCCCCACUACUUUCCCUCUGAGCCAAGCCCUCAAUUUGCCCUCCACACCCUAACUCAUUUUUUCUAUUCUAUUUAUAGGUUUUUUCCAGUUGUGGAAGCAUAAGAAAGUUCUUGGCAUCGUGUCGCUCGCGGCCAUAACAGGGUCGUGAGGAGAGAGAGAGAACGAGUCAACUUUGUGAAAUGUUCAAGGUUAUUCACCACUUUUCAGGUCUUCGCAAAAUGACAAUCUAGAAAACGUGGUUACCGAUCUUCUGGAUGGUCUGGAUGCUAAUGAGAAGCUUCUGAGGGGUCGAGCAGACCCCUGCCUAACAAAAGACCUUCACAGUCUUCUCCUCUAUAGCUAUUAUCUAUUUAAUGCUUUCAUUAUAUUCCUAGCAAUGUUUAUAGUAUUGUCAUAUUGUUAUUUAGAAAAAUGGGCACCAGCAGCAAAUUCCAUGAACCAACAUAAACGCGUCGUUUAGAUUAUACAUUCGCUGGCUUUGAUUAUUCUAUUCACAGUGGACAGAAUAGAAUUGCUUUUGUUUUUCACCCGUUUGCUUUUUGUAAAAUUGUGCUGAAAGAUAUACAGUCAAAGCAAGCCGGUCUUGGUGACUUUGACUUUGACUUUGCCUUUGCUUCUCGGAGAAGUUAAUGUUGGCUUACUGGAGAUUGAGCAUGCUAAGAAGCUUCUUAGGAGCCCGUGAACGUUCGAAGUGAUUCUUGGCUCGCAAUCUAGUUCCAUUUACUUAAUAAUUAACCUUGAUUUUAAGAAAAACAUUAGAAAAUGGGGAUGAUAAUCGUGAGAAUACUAAUUAACGAUCCUGUUCAAUUCCCCUUGUACAAUUCCUCCCUCGCAACUGCUAACGCAGAAAAAUUCGGCUCCUUUCAUGUAUGAACGUGUUAGAUGUUGGAAUUUUGUUUGUUAAAACAAAAUGAGUGUUUUUUACUUUGUCCCACAUAGAAAAGGUGGGAGCAUGAGGGCCAGUUUAAAAAUGUGGGAUUUCCCUUUUGUAAUUAAAGGAGUGAUUAGGUGGGGCUAGACCCCACCAUACCCGCUUGCGGGUGCGCGAUUAUUUGGCGCCCGCGGUUUAAUUAGCAUUAAUCCCUUGCUUUUUAUUUAUUUAUUUUUAUUUUAAUUUAUAUUUUUUGGUUCAAAGGUUGCCUUUUAAUUUGAGAAUUUCGAAAAUGAAAUAUAAAUGAAAAUUCGAAAUUCUAUUUAAAAAAAAAAUUAUUCCGAAUUUUAUUUGUGUCUUUUCAAGAUCACCUUUGGAAAAUUACUUAUUCGGUUUUAAUUUUUCCGAAGGAUUGUAAUUGUUCGUUUUUCGACUUCUUCCGAAGAGUCGCAUUUGUUUAUCCGAACAAUUUUCUAAAGACGUGUUUGUUCGCAAUUUUCACGAAGAGUUGCAAGACUGUUUCUUAUAUAUACUUGUCAUUUUUCGGAAAGAAAAUGGUGGUCAUUUUCGAGUCUUCUUUAUGAAAAACUGCAGCCAAUUUUUCGAUUGUUUUCCUAGAGAGACCCUGGAGAAAUACUAAAAUUGCUAUUUAGUAUUCUCAUCCGAGACUUUGUUGUAUCUUGGAAGAUUUUUGCCGGUGACCAUUAGCAACGUUGUGGGGCAAAUAAAUCCUUAAAGAAAGUGAUAUCACGCCUCAAAGUCCGAGUUGUUUUACUCGAUCCGAUUUCAUUGUACUACCCAAUUUCGAAGCAUAUUUUCCUAACAUUAGACACCAAAAAAUGCCGAGUCUUUGACCAUUGACUCGGACUAGAAGAGAAUGAACACAAUUCGACAGAAGAAAAAUUGCCUGAGUGUUGAAAGCUUUUAGUUGGCAAAUUUAGUUAAUCGACGAGAAAACUAGUUUUAACUGACAGAAAAUACGAUUUAAGAUAAUUAAGUUUAGGAGUAUACUGGCGACAAGUAAGGUUGACUCUAUGACAAAAGGCCACGAAUGAUGUAGCUGUUGACAGAGUGAUGAUGGAGUAACCAUUUAAGUGUUGGAGCCAACAAUUUUGGAUGUAACUUGUCAUGAAGAUAACCGCAAAAGGGGAAACUUAAUGCAACCAUCGAGUAGUGGAGUGAAGUAGCGGAGUCAAGAAGUUCGUGAGAAACUGAUUGUGACAAUUGUAGAGAAGUGGAGGAGACAUAACUAUCGAAGUAAUGGGGAUGACACAACCGUUGAUGUAGUGAAGACAUAGCCAUCAAAAUGAAGUGGAUUCCUUUUGUAAAUAGAGAUUGCUAAAUUGUAAGUCAUGUAGGGUGUGUUUUUUUUUUUUUUACACUGUUGUUAACUAUCAGUAGCAGACUAGUAGGUACAGACACUUGUACUGUAGGGGAGAAGAGAAUGUUGAUUAAUUUAAAAACACUAGCUGUUUAAUUUUAUCUUCCUGUUUAUAUUUGAAUUUCCAGCACCUUUACAUGAUUAGACAAGAUUGUCUUCAUUCUUAGUACUUUUAACUUUCACGUCGUUUGUGUUGCCUAUCCAAGAAUUAAGAAAGGACCUUUCAUGUGGCAUGGUUUAUAUCUUUUCGUCAUUCGGAAAGGAUGGACUCAUAAAAAUAUUUGUCCUUCUGCCAAUUGUAUCCUAUAAGUUACAGUUUGGUAAGAUCACUCGGUUCUUGUACUUAGUUGCCUCAUCCGGUGUCUCUACUUCAAUUCUUUUGUUUACUACAUUCGCCAUUCCGUUGUAGGUCGAUCCGCUUGAGCUCCAAUUCAUUACCUACCCCCCCCCCCCCCCCCAAAAGUUUGUAGGGAGUUUACUUGGUGAUGAAUAAGAUGUUCAUCUUUUCUCAUAAAUGUAAAAUCAUUUAUAAAGUCUUCCUAGACAUGAAAAUAUCCAUUACUAGUACUAACCAAAAUUUGCUAUAAAGUGGGGGGAUAGUACUCAAAGCCUUGUUACAGAGCAAGUAUAAUACUAUAAAGAAACCAUGACGCUCACUUUAACACUAUAAAGUACUACUACAUGCCAUGACCAAAUUCAUUAUUCUUGCAUGAACAUUAGCGCAUCUGGAUGCCGGUUAGAACCGUUCGUGGAUCUUCCAUUUGCUCGGGCGAAAUUUCUACUUCUUUUGCUUAACAAAGCCAUUGCCAUAAGCUUCAAACUCAGCCAAUCUUCCACGGGCUUUGUUCUUUUUAUAAUCACUUUCCGACACUAUUUCGACCUUCUGCUGAGGAAGAUCAUCCAGACAGUGGCCGAGCGGAGCCCUGUUUCAAGCUCCGUUGAUCGGACACUACUUCAACCUUCUGCCGAGGAAGAUUGUUCUGGUUCUGGCCAAGCAGAGCCCCCUUUCGGAUUCAUUAAAGGUCCGCCCAUUCAUAAAGGUAAUCAUCGGAGGUGGUGUUCCUGCUAGGCAUACGCCUGGGAGUAUUGUCGAAGCUUUGAUGCAUGUUUCCUAGUUGAGGUGGUACAGUGAAGGAAGUUCCAUUUAUAGAUGAAGGGUGAGAUGCUUCUGCUAUGUUCUUGAGGUGACAUUAGUGGCAUCUGACUCCGAUUCCAUAAAGAUGCGUGGAUGGUACCCAGAAAUAUGGGGAUAUGGAAGGCGUCUUGGAGAUUGACGUUUUAAAGUUGAUGAUUAAUAGGGUUGACACACGUUAGAAGUGUUGGAGAAAUCCUCUUGAAGUGUUUUAAAGUUGACAAAACGUUUCCAUCGGUCUAGUCUGAAAGCUUGCAGACUCUGCUAUUUAAAGUCUGAAGACUUCCGGACAGCCAGACUCAAGACUCAAAGCCAGACUCUGCUCAUUGACAGUUUCUAAUCCGUUGAAGAAAGGCUAUCCAGAACUUGAUGUUUCAUUAAGGAUGUGACCUUAUCGACUGGAGAAGAUCUCUUUGCUGGACAUGACAUGAUGGAAUCCUUUAUUUGAUCAUAAUUGAUUCGAAGAUUAAGGAUCCGAUGAUUGGCAAAGUAUACUUGGAAGGUUCUACUUAUGGAAACCGAGAUCCUGAUUGUAUGGGCAAACAGGAUUGAUAGGCUAUCGACAUGUUCCUUUAAUAGCUCGAAUGAUCUUCCUAAUUGAUUCCGUCCAACGGGUAGAUUGGAGGAAUUCCUUUGGUAAGUGCGAACGGGUAUGAUGGCAUGAAGGAGUAUAUAAGGAAGACGUUCCAGUUGUUCGAGGGUGUGCACGAUAGAAGAAUUCCAAAGUCUGAAGCUCUUUGUUCUUAGUCAAUUCAUUUGUUGAGCGAAAUCUUGUAAACAAAAGAGAGUCUAUAUUUGUGAGAAACCUUGAGGAAGUGUGGUAGAACAUCUACACUGUGGAAUCAAGGAAAAGCUGUGUUGUAACUUCUCUUUUGUUCAUAGUGAAAUCCAGCCGGUGGGCUGUCAAUGCGGAAGAGUGGACGUAGGCUUGGAAUAAGCUGAACCACUAUAAACCUUGUGUUAAAUUUUCUCUUCUCUACUCUUUACUUUACUUUAAUCGUAUUAAAAGAGAACUUCAUUUCUAUCGUUUGCCUAGAAUCGCUUCCGUAUCUCGAGAAAUUAUUUGUGCACCUAUUCAUCCCCCUUUCUAGGUGCUUAUACUAGCUAUCUCAAUUGGUAUCAGAGCCUGUGUACUCACUUUGUUUGAAGUGUUUUACUUCAAAGUUAAAGAUCCAUGGCUAGUAUGUUGGCUCCAGGGCUGGUAGAAGGGCAAAGCAAUACCAGACCGCCUUACUUUGAUGGAAAUGAUUACAACAUAUGGAAAAACAAGAUGAAGGCGUUCCUAAGAUCAAAGGAUCCUCUGGAAUGAGACGUUGUAGAAAAAGGAAUCAUUCCUAAAGCUGCACCUAUCUCAGAAAGAGGAAAAGAUACUGUUGAGUCUAGCGAAAUGACUCAGGAAGAAAUAAUCAAGAGACAAGCUCUUGAUGCAAAAGCAAUUUAUUCUUUAUAUUGUGCUUUAUCUCCUACUGAAUAUAACAGAAUAUCUUCUUGUGUUACAGCUAAAGAAGUCUGGGAUAGAUUACAUAUUACCUAUGAAGGAACCGAUCGAGUGAAAGAGACUAGAAUCAACAUUCUCCUCGGUCAAUAUGAAGCCUUCAAAAUGAAAUCAGGAGAAUAUAUAACUGAUACGUUUAGUCGUUUUACAGAAAUCGUGAAUGGUCUUGAAAAUCACGGUCAACCAAUUUCUGAUCCCAUGAAGGUACACAAGCUACUGCGUAGACACUCCAAGGAUUGGAAUCACAUAAAGACCUCAAUCAGAGAGACCCAAAGAAUCAUGCCACUAUCUGUUGAUGAGUUGGUCGGAACUCUUCAGUCUUAUGAAGUGGAACGAAUCAAUGAAGACGAAGACCCUAAAGGUAAGAAAUCCAUUGCAUUAAAAUCUAAUGAUGAUUCUGAUGUUACAGAGUCUAAAGACGAUAUGGAUGAUGAGGAGCUUGCUCUCAUGAUAAAAAGAUUCAGAAAGCUGAACAGAAAAGGAAGAAGAUUCAAUCCAAAGAAACAAAGUUUUCAAAAGCAACAGACUAAGUUUGUUGAGGAUGAUGAAUCAAACAAAGAUGUAGUCUGCUUUGAAUGUAAGAAAAAUGGACACAUUAGACCCAACUGUCCUCUUCUGAGGAAGAAGAAAGGAAAGACUGAAAAGUAUCGAAAGGCUCUUAAAGCAGAAACCUGGAGUGAUACAGAGUGUGAAGAAAGUGAUGAUGAUUAUGCCAAUAUAUGUCUAAUGGCACAAUCGGAUUCGGAUUCAAACUCCGAGACAGAUUCAGAUUCAGAAAGCGAAUUUGAGGUAAGUAACUUCAAAAUCACUAUUAAAGUUUCAAAAUACAUUGAUGAAUUGUGUUUUAGUCUUAAGACUUCUCUUAAAAGAAUUUCCGAACUCAAGAAGGAAAACUCUGCUCUAAAACAACAGGAAAAUAUUUUAAAAGAAAAAGUGAAAUGUUUAGACAAGAAUGUUUCUUCUCUUAAAGAAAGUGAAGAUAAUCUUUUAAAAGAAAAUGCAUUCUUGAAAAGUGAUAUCUCAAAUAUUUCCAAAAGAUUUUCUAUAGGAUCUGAGAAACUAGAAAAAAUUCUCUCUGUUCAAAGACCUUAUUUCAAUAAAUCUGGUUUGGGAAUGACUGCUGAAACCGUUUCUUUAAUUGAUUUUCCUAAAGUAAAGGAAAGAAUCAAACAAAGACCCAUAAGAGAUGCUUACAAAAAUCAUUUUAAAAGAAUCUUUGUAAAACCAGUAGGUCGCAAUGCUCUCAGAUGCUCAAAGUGCAAUAGUGCAGAUCAUUUUGAAAAAGAAUGUCCUAUGAUUUGGAAACCUGUUAAAAAGGUUUGGGCAAAAACCGCAUAUCAUACUAACACCAAUGGACCCAAGAAAAUAUGGGUACCAAAGAAGGUUUGAGUUUCUUUUUUAAAUGCAGGUCACUAUCAAGAAAAAGGUAAAAUGGUAUCUGGAUAGUGGAUGCUCAAGACACAUGACAGGAGACUCAAAUUACUUCAUAAAGCUUAUUUGAGUAAAUGGUGGAAAAGUUUCUUUUGGAGAAAACGGCAAAGGAAAAAUUGUGGGAUUUGGAACUGUAAAGAUUGGAAACCUCACAAUCAGCAAUGUUUCCUUAGUGGAAUGACUUAAUUACAAUUUGCUCAGUAUUAGUCAACUAUGUGAUACUGGUUUCAAAAUCAACUUUCAAGAGAGAAUAUGUUCAGGAAUUAGUAAAGAUUCUACUCAGUCAUUCAUGGGUCGAAGAUAUGGAAAUAUCUAUCUCUUGGAUGUGAAACCAGAUGAAUCGCAAUGUCUAAUCUCAAUCCAAGACGAAGCAAACUUAUGGCACAGGAAGCUUGGGCAUAUCAAUAUGAAGCAGAUAGCCAAAAUUUCAGCAAAGAAGCUUGUUCGUGGUCUACCCAAUUUAUCAUACCAAAAGUCUGAUCUAUGUACACCAUGUAUAUUGGGAUAACAGGUGAGAAAUUCCUUUAAACCAAUAAAUCAAGUUUCAACUAAUCGUGUACUGCAGCUUCUGCAUAUGGAUCUUUUUGGACCAACCAGAACACAAAGCAUUGGAGGUAAGAAAUACUGCCUAGUAAUUGUGGAUGACUACUCACGAUUUACUUGGGUAUAUUUCUUAGCAAGUAAGUCUGAAACUUUCUCUUACUUUGAAAAGUUUGCUAAAAAGGUUCAAAAUGAAAAAUGGUAUGUUAUCUCGAGUAUAAGAACAGAUCAUGGAGGUGAAUUUGAAAAUCAUGAUUUUACAAAAUUUUAUAAUGAAUCUGGUUUUCAGCAUGUAUUCUCCUCUCCAUAUACUCCAGAGCAAAAUGGAGUUGUGGAAAGAAAGAAUAGAUCGCUUCAAGAAAUGUCUAGAACUCUUUUAAUUGAAAGUAACAUCUCUUCACGUUUUUGGGCUGAAUCAGUUUCAACAGCAUGUUACAUUAUAAAUAGAGUUUUUCUAAGGCCUAUUCUAGAAAAAAAAAAAAACCCCUAUGAACUAUUCAAAGAAAAGAAGCCUAUUGUUUCAUAUUUUCAUGUAUUCGGAUGCAAAUGUUUUAUACUGAAAAAUGCAAAUGAUCAAGUUGGUAAGUUUGAAGAAAAGUCAGAUGAAGGCAUCUUCCUUGAAUAUUCAACCACAAGCAAAGCGUACAGAGUCUACAACAAGAAAACUCAAACAGUGGAAGAAUCAAUGAAUGUUAAAUUCCAAGAUUCUAUGCAAAAUGAAUCCAUUCAGACUCAUCUUGAAGAAUCUGAACCUGCUCCAGACUCUACAAAGUCUAAAUCUCAGGAAAUAGCUCAGACUUUGAAGGACCAGCAACAAGUGACUGUUGAAGAUUCAAGUGAAGGAAGUGACCAUCAAUCUGACAAAUUAACCAGCAACUGGAAACAUAAGUCCAGUCAUCCCAAAGAUCUUAUUAUUGGAGACAUCAAUGAAGGAAUUCGCACAAGAUCCAAAAGGCGCGAAGAGUCUAGUGUUGUGGCUCUUAUUUCUGAAAUAGAACCCAAAAGUAUAGAAGAAGCUUUAUCUGAUGAAAGCUGGAUUGAAGCUAUGCAAGAAGAGCUCAAUCAAUUCAGUAUUAAUGAUGUCUGGGAAUUGACUCCUAAACCGAAAGGUAAGUCUGUUAUUGGAGCUAAAUGGGUUUUCAGGAACAAGAUGAACGAGAAAUGAAAAGUCAUAAGAAACAAGGCAAGACUCGUGGCCAAGGGAUACACACAAGAAGAAGGGAUAGACUAUGACGAGACUUACGCACCAGUAGCAAGGUUAGAAGCAAUUCGAUUAUUACUUGCUUUUGCUUGUUAUAAAAAUUUUAGGUUAUUCCAAAUGGAUGUCAAAAGUGCCUUCCUAAAUGGAUUCAUGCAUGAGGAAGUCUAUGUGGAACAACCACCUGGGUUUGAAGACCCAAGGAAACCAGACUCAGUAUUCAGACUCAAAAAUGCCUUAUAUGGCUUAAAACAAGCACCUCGAGCUUGGUACGACAGACUGAGUAAGUUUUUAAUUAAAAAUGGUUUUGUUAAAGGUAAAGUAGACACUACUCUUUUUAUUAAAAGAGAAAGUAAGAGUUUUCUGCUUGUUCAAAUAUAUGUCGAUGAUAUUAUUUUUGGAUCCUCUAAUGAAAGUCUGUGCAAGAAAUUCUCUAAGACCAUGCAGGAUGAAUUUGAAAUGAGCAUGAUGGGUGAGUUAACCUUCUUUCUUGGACUUCAAGUGAAACAACUGAAGGAAUGAACUUUUAUUCAUCAAGAAAAAUAUGCUAAUGAUCUUGUUAAAAAGUUUGGACUGGACAAUUGCAAAAAGGCUGAAAUACCAAUGUCAAGUUCCUUGAAGAUAGACAAAGAUGAAGGAGGAAAGAAAGUCGACCAAAAGUUAUUCAGGAGUAUCAUCGGUUCACUUCUUUAUCUUACUGCUUCUAGACCUGACAUUUUGUUUAGUGUUUGCAUUUGUGCCAGAUUUCAAGCAGACCCUAAAGAAUCUCAUUUAAAUGCUGCAAAGCGUAUUAUCAAAUAUAUUGCAUCAACUUCAAGCUUUGGUCUCUGGUAUCCUAAAAGGGGAGACUUUACUCUUCUUGGAUACUCAGACGCAAACUUAGCCGGAUGCAGAAUUGAUAGAAAGAGCACCUCAGGUACCUGUCAACUACUUGGAGGCAGGACGGUGUCUUGGUUUUCAAGGAAGCAAAGUACAGUAGCUCUCUCUACAGCAGAAGCAGAGUAUGUAGCUCUUGGAAGUUGUUGUUCACAAAUUCUGUGGAUAAAACAACAGCUAAGAGACUUUGGAAUUGAAGAUUCAUGCACGAAGAUUAAAUGUGAUAACACCAGCACAAUCAAUCUCACCAAAAAUCCAAUUCUUCACUCAAGAGCAAAGCAUAUAGAGAUUCGACAUCACUUCAUUAAAGAUCAUGUUCAAAAUGGAGAAAUUACGAUUCAGUUUGUUGACUCAAAGAACCAACUUACGGAUAUAUUUACAAAGCCUUUGGAGAAAAAUCAAUUUGAAAUUAUCCGUUCCAGACUCAACAUUUUGAGGUUUGAAGAAGUUAAAGUCUAGAGACUCUCAGACUUUGACUGCAAGACUUUGACUGUAAGUUAUUCUCUCUCUAAAUCUCAUCUUGAAAAGGUACGUUCAUCAACCAUGUUUGAUUAUUGUUAUCUCAACCGCUAUCUUUAAUUGACGAGAUUAUUGCAACGUUUCCUUUUGAAAAAUGAGUUAUUUUGAAAUGACCAUUUUUCGAAAAAGGCAGUUAUUUUUUUAAAAUGCAUCUUUUCACUUUCCAUUACGACGUUUGUUAUUCCCUCCUUUUGACUGUUUUAUAUACAGUCGGUUUCUCUUCGCUUAACUCCAAAACCCUAAAAAGCACCAAUCUUCCAUUCCUGUUUUCCUCUCUUAUUUAAUCUUCGAAAAAGUUGUCAUCUUUCUUAGGAAAGUCAAGCAAGGAAUCUUUCAAAGACUAAGAAAGAUGUCGUCUUCAAGAAAGUCUUCGAGGAUCGCAAGCAGGGGACCACGGCGAAUGAGUGAGGGGCCUACGCACUUCGAUCUCACUGAAGAAGAAGUGUCUCCAAAUCAGCAGCAGAGUCCACAACAUUCUCAGCAGCGUCAUUCUCCUCCAUCUAGACCUCAAGGUGUUGAUCAUCAACAAAAGGAAGAAAUCAUUGAAGAUGCAGAUCCUGUAAGAGUUCAAAGACCCUCUUUUAUUUAUAAGCUGUAUCGUGCUUUAAAAGGGACUGGUACUCCAUUGAACUAUGUCGAUGAUUUUCUUAAGGACAAAGGAUAUGGAAAUGAAUAUAUCUUUUUGCGAAAAAUGGAAAGUUUGAGAAUUGCUCGUAAAGGGGUGGCAGAAGAAACCCUUGCGAAUAUUCCAAGUGAUCCUCGUGAUUGGGGAUUUAAUCCGAUAGAUGGGAAUGAUGAUGACAAAUUGUACAACCAAUUUCAACCGAGAAUGGGUGUUGCGGUGGAAAAUCGAGGAAAAAGGGGAGAGUUGUUUAGAUCAAAGGAACAGAAUGAUCUAUACUCAAAACUGCUGAAGCGUGGGGUAAUAAACCCUAAGAGUGUGGAUUUUGAUUUUCUGGAUGUGAAUGUGAACUUGAGGGAAAAGUUCGGUUAUUUUCAACUUGAAAAAUUCUGCUCAGACACCACAGAGGCCUAUCCUCAAUUAACUGCAUAUUUCUAUUCAAAUCUUAGUUUCUUGGAUGCGAAUAGAUUCUCUUUCAGUGUCAAAGAUCAAGACUUUGUAGUGGAUAUGGAUAUGCUAGCAGAUGUGUUAGGAGUUGAGAGAGGAAGAUAUCAACGGAUCAAAGUAUCUAUUGCUCGUGCUACAUUGGAACUUGUUAAGGACAGGAGAACAGAGGAAAAGAUUUCUUACUCAAGGAUGAGUGCAUUCAACAUUUUGCUUCACAAGAUUGUGAUCAAUUGCCUCAGACCAAAAUCAAUUUCCAAGACUGAUGUUUCAAGUUCAGAGGCAAAGCUGAUGUAUGCCAUCAUCACUGGGAAAAUGUUUUCUCUUCCUCACACUAUUAUGUUCCACAUGUAUAAAGCAGUGAUGAAGGACAGAGGUCAACUUCUUUAUCCAAGUCUUGUGACGAAGUUAUUCAGACAUCUGAACACUCAGCCUCUGCAAAUUCUUUGUGCUCGAUCGUGCAAUCAUAUGGUGGUAGGACUGAAAAUGGUGACUAAAAUGUGUCUGAAGGAAUUAAGCAAGGCAUUGGAGAAAUUCAAGGAGAAGACUCCAGUCAAAACUCAUCCAAUCUCUUCUGCAGCAAAAAGAAAAGGGAAGGAGCCCAUGGAUGCUUCAUCCAAGAGAAGAAGAGCUCUCAUCAUUGAGGAUGAAGAUGAUGAGGAAAACAUCACUAUUUCUGCAAUGGCAUUGAAGAAUCUGAGUCGUUCUGUUCCAGAGAAAGACUCAGAACAGCGGACCAAAGAAAGAGAAGAGAAAGAAGCAGAGGAAAAAGAAACGGAGGAAAGAGAAGAAGAAGAAGAAGAAAGAGAUGCUGAGAAAGAGAGAGUUGAAAAAGAAGAAGAGGAGAAAAGAGAUCAAAAUGAAGGAGAACAUGAGGAGCACUCUUCUCCACCUAAAGGCAUGGAAAAAGGGGGAGAUCAAGAGGAAAGAGGAAUGCCCUCAUAUCCUGCAACCAGUGAGGGAGUCAGUCGCUCUCCAGCAGAUCCAGAGGACAUCUAUGCCUCUCAAUAUCCUGAGGAAGGUCAUGAUGUUUCAUCGCCAAAUCUGCGUGAUUAUGCUGAUAUACCAUCGUCUGCAUUUACUCCAUCAGAUCGUGCCGACGCCAGUACGCAGACCGAUAAUUCAGCAGAUUUUCGCAGAGUUAUGGAUAUUCUCUUGGAGAUGCAAGGUCAGAUAUAUGCAUUGGGAUGCGAAGUUCAGAACUUGCAGAAUGCAGGUCAAGCUUCUUCGGGUUUAUUGGAUGAUCAGAUCCAAGCCCUUUCUCUUCAGAUUCAAGCUAAUGCUAAGGGUGAGGAUGUUGCACAACUGAAAGAAGACUUGAAAAGGCUAGAAGGCAUCGUUCAGUCAAUGGGAGAUUUCCAGUUUGUUCGUGUUCCCAAGCAUUCUUGACUCUACUCCAUUUUCAUCUCAACCUUUCUUUUUUAUGCUGACAAAAAGGGGGAGAGAUGUGAGAUUUGAAAAACUUUGAACUUAAAUUUGUCGAGCUUUUGGCUUGUUUGGUUUGUGGUUUGUUUUGACUUGACUUGCGUGUCUGGAUGUGGACUAAAUUUGGGAUUUGGAUUUGACUGCUUAUAUUAUUAACUACUAUUGAUAUCUUAUGGAUGGCUUUAUUGCAUACUAGACUAACCUAUUUUCUGUGGUUGCAGAUUCUAGUGUUAUUCAUUUAGCCAUUUAUCUCUAUAAGAUAUGCAUAUGUGUUUGAGAAAUGUUUUGCAGGUCAAAGUUUUCCAAAUCUGCAGGAAAGUUUUGUCACCAUCAAAAAGGGAGAGAUUGUUGGAGAAAUCCUCUUGAAGUGUUUUGAAGUUGACAAAACGUUUCCAUCAGUCUAGUCUGAAGGCUUGCAGACUCUGCUAUUUAAAGUCUGAAGACUUCCGGACAGCCAGACUCAAGACUCAAAGUCUAUUCUCAUUGACAGUUUCUAAUCCGUUGAAGAAAGGCUAUCCAGAACUGGAUGUUUCAUUAAGGAUGUGACCUUAUCGACUAGAGAAGAUCUCUUGGCUGGAUAUGAUAUGAUGGAAUCCUUUAUUUGAUCAUAAUUGAUUCGAAGAUUAAGGAUCCGAUGAUUGGCAAAGUAUACUUGGAAUGUUCUACUUAUGAAAACCGAGAUCCUGAUUGUAUGGGCGAACAUGAUUGAUGGGCUAUCGACAUGUUCCUUUAAUAGCUUGAAUGAUCUUCCUAAUUGAUUCCGUCCAACGGGUAGAUUGGAGGAAUUCCUUUGGUAAGUGCCAACGGGUAUGAUGGCAUGAAGAAGUAUAUAAGGAAGACGUUCCAGUUGUUCGAGGGUGUGCACGAUAGAAGAAUUCCAAAGUCUGAAGCUCUUUGUUCUUAGUCAAUUCAUUUGUUGAGCGAAAUCUUGUAAACAAAAGAGAGUCUAUAUUUGUAAGAAACCUUGAGGAAGUGUGAUAGAACAUCUACACUGUGGAAUCAAGGAAAAGCUGUGCUGUAACUUCUCUUUUGUUCAUAGUGAAAUCCAGCCGGUGGGCUGUCAGUGCGGAAGAGUGGACGUAGGCUUGGAAUAAGCCGAACCACUAUAAACCUUGUGUUAAACUUUCUCUUCCCUACUCUUUACUUUACUUUAAUCGUAUUAAGAGAGAACUUCAUUUCUAUCGUUUGCCUAGAAUCGCUUCCGUAUCUCGAGAAAUUAUUUGUGCACCUAUUCAUCCCCCCUUCUAAGUGCUUAUACUAGCUAUCUCAAGAAGAAGCAUCGCUUGGCUUUCAAUAAUAUCUUUGCGAGAACUAGGAUUGAGCUAUAAAGGACCCUUCGAGAUGAAUCGGGUGGCUUUACUUAUACAUUGUGUAGAGUGUCAAGAUUCUGAUAAUAGCUUGUGAUGGUACGGUUGCGACUAGUUCAAACUUCACAAGCAAAAUCCCAUCCUCCAUAUUGUAGAAGGGAGUCAAAAUUGUAUAAGAUACAGUAUAUGGAUUGUAGCGGACCUUAAAAAUAAAUGAUACGUAUAAAUCGAAGGAAAUUAUGACCAAAUAGUAAAUGCUUCCCUUGCUCAAAACCCACAAAGAGAAUCAAUUCAAACCCCUAAUCAAAAGUUGUAUAACGCCUUGAUUCCUUGAAUAUCAUCCGCAUGGAGACCUUUGGUAGUCCCAGGAGCUAUGGAGGAGUACAUGAUGGCCCCUUCAACAUCGCUGUGCCCUAGCCCAAGGAGGUGACCGAUCUCGUGUAAAGCCACCGUCUCCACGUUAAAAGCGGCCGAGCCGGAGGGUGGAUCAACGGCCCACUUCUCAUCCGCGUCGUAGUGGAACAGCCCGACUGUUGGCGGAAACGCGUGGGCAAGAGUUCCUCCGGGGCCAUCGAAGCUGUUGUGUGCACCGUCUCCAUGGUCUCCUCUUGCAAACCCUAUCUGUAUGUUGGCAAUUUCAUGGUCCUCGACGUACGAGAAAGUGAAGCGUGUCACCGAGGUCCACGUGGCAAAAGCCCGGGCAACUGGGGCCGUGGCAGCCUCUGGGGUCCCUGGGAGGAAGCCAUAGGUGAGAUGGUAAUUAGAGGCCGGCCAUCUAGGGCUUCCCUCCAAGAACGCAUAGUGAGACACGGUAUGGAAAGAUCCGAUCCCACGGAGGUUCCGCCCUUUCUUUCCGAACCCCAUGCGGGUGGUUCCAUUAAUGAUGUCCGCCACGCCGCAUCGUGGUCUCAUCAUUUUGGACGUAGUCUGGGGAUCCAAAGUUCCCGUGACAUUCAGAUGAUAAUUGAGUUGGUACGUCUUAACAGCAAAUUCUAACAGUCGUCGAAGUCGUCGUCGUCGGCAUGGAUUGUCGGAUGACCGGAUUGGUGUAUUCAAUACCAAAUUUCUCGAGGUAUCUCUUGAGCUCGCGAAUGCCUCCGGUAUGAUUGCCCUUGUGACAUCCCUGAAGGUGCUGGAGGAACUCAAAGGGCGAUUUUAUUUGGUCAUCUGAAUGUGCUGAGGCGGCGUGAAAGAGGGAAGUGAGGAGGAGCAAGUAUGAGAAGGUGGAAAAGAACAUAGCAUCCAUGGCUGAACUGAUGAACGCGCACUCUUCUAGCAGAGAAUGAAUGUUUUAUGCAUUGUUGCCGUAUCGAAGGAGGCCUAUUUAUGGAUACAUGUCCCUUUUGAGGUGUAGCAGUAGCUAGGUCAUAAGGUCCCUUCGAAAUUGAAAUGUUCAUGAAUGGAAGAAACCGCAAGUACGUACUAACAGACAACGACCGCAUCGAUCUUCGAGAAAAACGCGUAUAAGACUGGGAAUUCGAGGAAAGAAACCCUGAGUACGGUACUAAAAACGACCUUUACUAGGUCUUUGAGAAGAAGACGUGUAAAACUGGGAACCGAAGAAGUAAUAUUGUUAGAACUCAAUUGUUAAUUUUAUGUAUUUCAUAGAGAAAGCCUCGCAGACACCUAGUCUUUGAUCCCCACUUAAGUAUCGCGAGCCAAACACAAUGCUAAAGCAUUGUGUUAUAUAAUUCAAAAGAAUCGACACGUGGGAUUCCUAUAUUGCGUGUGAAAAGCCACAAAUGCUGUAUAGGUGCAUUCUAUUUUCAUUAAAUGCAAGUAGUCCCUGUACUUUCUAAUAUGUAAUAUAGUUCCCAAACUUUAGUAUAAUGUACAAUGUUAUUUUUAAACUUUUAAUUUGUAUAAUAUAGUUCUUAAACUAUUAGUAAAUGUUCAACAUAAUCAUUUUGUUUGCAUGAUUUUCAUGGAAUUUAGGUACUAAAUUGAAUAUUUACCAGUAGAUUAAGGACCACAUUGAACUAACUAAAAGCUUAAGGAUGAUAUUAUACAUUGAACCAAAAUUCAAGGACUACAUUGAACAAAUUAAAAGUUCAAAGAUGACAUUGGACAUUUAAUCAAUUUUCAAGAAUCAUUUACGUAAUCAUCCCUUCCAUUAAAGAUGCGGUGUACGGCCGAUGAUAGUGCAAAUCAAUCUAUAAAAAAAUUUGUGUUUUUAGUGGGACCCUCUAUGAAUUCUAUAUCUCCUAAUGCGAUUAACUUGAUUGAGGAUAAGGCAAUGUUGAGAUAACUAAUUAAUCAUCGGUCUACUAUCAUAUGGAGCAACAGCCACCGCCCCUCAGCAUUGUUUUUUUUUUUUUGUUUUCUUUUUUUUUGGGGGGGGGGGGUUUGGUAAAGGAAGUUUAAUUGAACCAAAACGGUCUUAAACAUUCAGGCUUACAAUAGGAGCAUCAAGACAAAGCAAGUCCCACAGUGGCUGAGGGGAUGUGCUACCCAAUUAGGAAGUAAAAGGUUGAGUUUUUAAGUUUAGCAACCCAAUCCUUUACUCGGUUAUUCUCUACUACAAUAGAUGAUCGUCGGAUUAAUAAAAAGGCCCAUUAAGUUACGGGCUCCCGAGAUAAGCACGUUGACUUUCCAAGGCAAGUGAUCUGCUGCGCUCUCACUAGAUCAACUAACACCAAGCAAUCUGACUCCAGCUGCAGCUGUUCUUCACUUCUAGACACAAGGAGAGAGAGGGCUUCUGGCAAAGCAACGGUUUUCGCCUGUAGAGUAGAAGACACCGAUACUAUUUUGGCUGCUCUGUUCAAGAGAUUCCCCAACUCAUCACGAACGACGCAAGCUAUGGCUCUAGUGAUCUCUCCUUCCUCAUACAAUCCAUCACAAUUCACCUUUAAAGUUCGCCCCUUUGGUGGAAUCCAACUUUGAGAUAAGUUCCUCUUCUCUACUUGACUCGUCGAUUGCUCAAGGUUCCAUCGUCUCCAGUUGUUGAGCAUAUUGUGUGUUGAUUCCACUAGAAAAAUUGGAUUGGAUGCUGGUUGCGAAAAACAAAAUCACAUCUUGCCUUCCCGAUAAAUCACAGGACACUUGCAACCAUCUUAAAGGAAGCUGAAUGCUUAAUUCUCACUCCAAAUUGCUGUAUCCAAACAUCAAUUCUUGACAGCCCUUGCCUUAAGAUUAUAAUAUGUAAUGCAGGGUAACUCCAUAUCCGUGAAGUCCAGGAACAUAGCAAGAAUAGGUGCUCUACCGUCUCGGCUUCUUGUUUACAGAAUGGACGUGUGGGUCUUCUGAAUUAGUUUUCUCUAGUAGGUAUAGCGUUCUGACAUAUACUCCAUGUGAAUAUUCUGACCUUGGGAGGGGUUUUCAUGUGCCAAAUUUUGUUCCAAAGCUCAUGAGGUGGCUGAGUAUGCGUUGAUGUUUGCUUUUUCGUGUUGUGAAUGGUGGCUGUUUUGUCCACAUAUACACGCUCUUCACUAUGAACCGGCCUAUUUCUGUAUCAAUCCAUACUAACUCGUCUUGUGUGCUCUGAUUUCUCAGUAGGAUUGUUAAUAUUUCGUUAACAAUUUGGACAUCAAAUAGACAGUGAAGGGUCCGUUCGUCCCAUCGAAUCUCUUCUUUCAAAAUCAAAUCUACAACUUUUGCUAGUUCUCCACAAUUUGCUAGCCCCUAAUGAUUCCUCUUUUGAGCCAUCUAUCUUCUUGAAUCUCAUAUUUGUUAUGAAAUUGUACGUCGAUUCCAGAAAAAUAAUGUUCGGAAACAAUUCACCAAGCAAAAUAUAAUAAUAAAAUAAUAGAAUCAGAUGAACAUGCCAGAAAAUUUGUUAUUGAAGUUCAUCCAAACCUAGGCUACAUCUCCGCGCAGAGGCACUCUGCGAAUCCACUAGACUUCAAAAAAAGUUGGAAUAUAACGACGAUCUUCUCUUAAGAUCAGGGCACAAAGAGAUUGAGAACCCUCAUCAAGAAAAAACUCACUUUUUUCUUCUCUCUUUUUCUUGCCUCUCUAUUUCCUUUUUCAGCGUCUUGACGGCUAGGGUCUUGCCAUCGCUAAUAUAAAGAUACCACUUUUAACCUAAAAGGAAAUCUAAUAAAAAAGAUAAAAAAAAGCCCCUAAAAACAAAUAUUUGGCUUCAUCUAUAACAAUCUCCUACUUGAAGACAAAUAUACCCAAGCACCAAGCAACUUUGUAUUCAUCUUCUUCAAAAAAAAAAUAGUUGAAAAACUUGUACCUCUGCAAUACUCGUCAUCAAUCAGCAUGGAGUAAUACCAAUGGUAGUAGUACAGAAAAUAUGAUUCUCUCUGCCUAUUACCUUGGUUAUCAUGUUAGCUGGAUUCUUCGAGCCAUCAAUCUUCUGUAGUUUUAACUCAUUAUCUUUCAAUGCUGACCUGAUAAAGUGAUAACGUUUCUUGAUAUGUCUAGUCCUUGAGUGAUAAGCUGCAUUCUUUACUAAGUGCACUGCACUUUGACUAUCACUCCACAGUGUGCCGAUUGGCUGUUUUCGAUGUAACUCCUCCAUAUAAUCUUGUAACCAUAUGAUUUCCUUGGAGACUUCUGUGAUCGCCACGUAUUCUGGCUCUGUUGUUGAUAAAGCCACUACUUUUUGUAAUUGAGACACCCAACUCACUACUGUACCUGCAACUGUAAAGACAUAUCCAGUGGUACUCUUAUCACUAUCUCGAUCACCCGAAUGAUCUGCAUCUACAUAACCCUGCAACUUUAGAGAUGUACCACCAUAACAAAGUGAGCAAUUGAAAGUACCUACUAGAUAUCUCAAUAUCCAUUUUACUGCAUUCCAAUGCUCUCUGCCUGGGUUUUGCAUAUAUCGACUCACAACUCCCACUGCAUGUGCAAUAUCUGGUCUCGUGCUCACCAUGGAAUACAUCAAACUCCUCACUGCUGAUGCAUAUGGAACUACCGCCAUCUCAUCUUUCAAAGCAUGAGCGCUUGGACACAUAUCCUUGAAAAGUUUGAAGUGACUCGUUAGAGGAGUUGCAACUGGUUUUGCUUUAUUUAUGUUAAAUCUCUUUAACACAUUGUUCACAUAGUCUUCCUGUGACAACCAUAAUUUCUUAUUUUUCCCAUCCCUGAUGAUUUUCAUGCCUAAAAUAUUCUUGGCCUCUCCCAAACCUUUCAUAGCAAACUGUGAUGAUAACAUCUUCUUCACUUCUAUGAUUCUCUUCAUAUUGGAACUAGCCCCUAAUAUGUCAUCUACAUAUAAAGAGAGAUACACAAUAUCAUCAUCAUCAUCAUACUUGCGAAAAUAAACACAGUGAUCAAACUCACAGUGUGCAAAUCAUUUUUCUUGCAUGAAACCAUCAAAUUUUAGGUAUUAUUGCCGCGGAGCUUGUUUCAAGCCAUACAAGCUUUUCUUCAAGCAACAUACCAUGUGCUCCUUACCUUUGACUUCAAAACCUUUAGGUUGUGCCAUGUAUAGUUCUUCAUCUAAGUCACUGUGUAAAAACACUGUUUUUACGUCUAACUGCUCAAGAUGAAGAUCCUCCACUACAACUAUACUCAGCAGAACUCUAAUUAAUGUCAUUUUCACUACAUGCGAAAAUAUCUCGGAGUAGUCGAUCCCUUCUUUUUGAGAAAAGCCCUUGAGUACAAGUCUCACCUUGUAUCUAAUACUACCAUUUGCUUCAUUCUUAACCCUGUACAUCCAUUCGUUUAAUAAAUCUUUUUUACAUGUGGGCAACUUGGUCAACUCCCAAGUUUUGUUCUGAAGUAACGAGCUCAUCUCGUCUUUCAUAGCACACUCCCAUUGCAAGUGAGACGUGUCUGCAUUUGCCUCAUCGUAAGUCUCCAGUUCCCUUGAAUCUGUAUAUAAGACAUGGCUCAGAACAGUAUUAGCUGAUGGAUCAAAAAUUACCUUUGGCUUUCUCACACGUGUAGACCUUCUCAAGACAGGUACUUCAGGGUCAUUCAUUUGCUCCAAAUCACUGCGUUCUUCUUGAACUACCUCUUCACCAAUAAUAGGCUCAUCUUGAACCUCUCUUUCAAGUGAACUUCGAUCUAUUGGAAAUAUCUUCACGAGCAUUGUGUCUAAUUCAACAUAUUCUGGUUGUACUACCUUCUCAUGUUCUGUCUCUGUCUGACGAUCCUUGUACAUCUUUUCUUCAUGGAAUACCACAUUGCGAUUGCGGAUGACUUUGUUAUUCUCAUAAUCCCAUAGCCUAUAGCCAUACUCGUCGCCACCGUAUCUGAUAAAGACGCACUUCUGGGACUUAGCAUCAAGCUUUUUCCUAUCCUCCCUAUCAAUCAAAGCAUAUGCAAUACAACCAAACACUUUUAGAUGUGAAUAAUUAAUCUUUUUACCUAACCACAGUUCUUGUGGUAUUUCUCCAUCCAACGCACUAGAUGGACUUCUGUUGAUAAGAUAAACAGUUGCAUUAACUAUGGCGGCCCAUAAGUGUAGCGGGAGACUCGCAUGUAGCCUCAUGCAUCUCGCACGUUCUAGAAUAGUCCUGUUCAUUCUUUCAGCUACACCGUUUUCUUGAGGAGUUUUAGGAACAGUCUUUAACCCGUGUAUGCCUUCUCGACUCAGAUAAUCUGCAAAUUCUUUACUUGUGUAUUCACCACCAUUAUCAUACUUCAUAGCUUUAAUCUGAUAAUCUGUUUCUUUUUCUACCAUGGUCUACCACAUUCUAAACAUCCCGAAUACUUCUGAUUUUUCUUUAAGAGUAUAGACCCAAGUCUUCCUUGUUGCAUCAUCAAUGAAUGUGACGAAAUAUCUCUUACCACCAUAAGAGAGUUCUUGAGCAGGUCCCCAUACAUCAGUAUGAACCAACUCUAGCUUAUGGCCUUUAUUUUGUCGUUCAUUCAAUUGAAAACUAACAGCCUUUUGUUUUCCAUAAAUGCAACUCUCAUGAAAAUCUAACUCAACUUUUUGCAAACCUGGGAGUAAUUUUCUCAAGUGUAACUGCUUUACACAUUUUUCACCGAGAUGUCCCAAACAAUAAUGCCAAAGAGUAGAUAAAUUACCUGUAACCAUUGUAGUUGCAACCAUAUCACUGAUAUUGUCUCCUUGGAGAAGGUAAACCGUACCCAUACGCUUUCCCUUUGCUACUACUCUUACCCCUGAGGUUAUCUUCCACUCUCCAUAGCCAAAGAUUAUUACCAAACCUUCUUGGUCAAGUUUACUAGUUGAAAUCAGAUUUUUCUUUAAUUUCGGAAUAUGCCUAGUUUCACGCAAAACUAGACGUCCUCCACCUGAGAUGUUCACAGUAACAGUUCAUUUCCCAACAAUUGGACACAUGUGGCCAUUUCCCACAACCACUUGUCCAAAAUCUCCACUGACAUAAUCCUCAAAUAUGUCUCUUUGCGAGGUGCAAUGAAAAAAAAAUACCAUAAUCAAUAAACUAUUUAUCUGUUAUCAAGUCAAACCCUACAGACAAACACAAGUUAUCUAGCAAAGAUUCAUCGCUAACUACAUUAGCACCUUGAUUCUCAUCUUGCUGCUUCUUUUUGUAGGCUUCACACUGAAACCUCCGGUGUCCGGUUUUGUGACAAAACCAACACUCAUCUUUUGCAAUCUGUCUCAUACCCCUUGAUUGUGAUCUGCCACGCCCGCUGAAAUUUCCUCUACCUUUACUUCUUCCACGGUUCUCCACUGCAAGUGCCGUUGAAGAUGUAGAUGCAGAAAAAUUAUCUCCACCUGAGACUUUCCUUCGCAUCUCUUCAUCUAUGAUACUACUCACAGCAUCAUCAAGAGUUAAAUCAUCCUUCAUGGUGCUCAAAAUUCCCUGCACUGCGGUAUUGUAGCUUUCUGAAAGAAAACAUAAAAAUAAUAAAGCUUGAAGCUUCAAAUCUAAAUUUAUGCUUGCGGAUUCCAAUUGACCUGUGACCUGUGUUAAACUAUUAAUAUGCUCUGCCACAGAACCUCUAUCAGAUAACUUCAUAAUAACCAGUUUCUUCAGCAAAAAUACCUGAUUUGAUGUGGACGGCUUUUCAUAAAUAUUCAUUAGAAUAUCCAUGGCUUCUUUUGUAGUUUUUGCUUUCGCCAUGUGGUACCCUGUCUUUUUCGUCAACCCUAGACAAAUCGCACCUAAUGCCUUUCAAUCAAGAAUUUUCCAUUCGGCUUCUGCUGUCGAAUCCAAUUCCGCCAUCUCGGGUUUCCAACCCUCAAAUGGUGCAGAGAUCUUUUUGAUAAAGGUAAUCAUCUAUUUGUAGUUUCCACCAUCCAAAAUCCUCUCCAUUGAACUUAUCGAUUCUAAUUUUAUCUUCUGCCAUACUGUUUGCUUUCAAUUGAACGUCACCGAAAAACCCUCGAUGUUCUUGAUUAGCCAACCCAGGCUCUGAUACCAGUUCUUACGAAAGUACAUCAAUUCCAGAAAAAUAACGUUCGCAAACAAUUCACCAAACAGAAUAUAAUAAUAAAAUAACAUAAUCAGAUGAACACGCCAGAAAAUUUGUUAUCGAAGUUCACCCAAACCUGGGCUACAUCUCCACGCAGAGGCACUCUGCGAAUCCACUAGACUUCAGAAAAAGUUGGAAUACAAUAACGAUUUUCUCUCAAGAUCAAGGCACAAAGAAAUUGAGAACCCUCAUUAAGAAAAAACUCACUUUUUUCUUCUCUCUUUUUCUUGCCUCUCUAUUUCCUUUUUCAACGUCUUGAUGGCUAGGGUCUUGCCAUCGCUAAUAUAAAGAUACCACUUUUAACCUAAAAGGAAAUCUAAUAGAAAAGACAAAAAAAGCCCCUAAAAAUAAAUAUUUGACUUCAUCUAUAACAAUAUUUUCACUUGUUCUUACUGACCACAUCACUAAAUGCGAAAUAGUUUUGCGACCCAUUAAAAUGUUCUGCCAAUCCCAUGAGGGUCGUGAGCCUUUCCUUGCGUUCCAAAAAGAACAUUGAGGGAAAUAAAUUUCUUUCAAGAUCAUAAAGACGAUGAAUUUUGAGCUAACCUCCAAACUUGUUUCCCUAGUAAAGCUUCGUUAAAGGAGAUCAAAUCUCAAAAUCCCACUCCUCCUGAAUAUUUCCUCAUUUUUAACACAUCUCCCUUCUUCCGAUGUUGUCCAUCUUCUGAUUCACUAUUCCUCCACCAAAAAGCAGCAACUUUUUCCUCAAAGGUUUGGUGCAACAAAAUAGGAAUUUUAAAAAUUGAUAUAGCAUAUUGUGGCAAGCUUGUACUAUAGCCUUAAUUAAUAUUUCCUUCCCCGCUUUUGAGAACAAGUUCUCCUUCCACCCCUCGAGCUUUAUAUUAACUUUGGCUAGAAUCCAAGCAAACAUAUGCAUUUUAGAAACUCCCCAAUCAAACGGGAUCCCCAAGUACUUCCUUUCUUUUCUACUUCAGGCACUCUCAACUCAUUGCCCAUAAUUCUUCUCAAAUUCUGUGGACAGCCCACACUAAAAGAAAUACUAAACUUGUUUAAGUUAAUUGCUUGCACAAAAGCAUAGCAAUUUUAAUUCAGAAUCCAAGCUAAGUUCUGGCACAUUUUCACCUUUCCAUCCAAGUAGAAAAUCGAGUCCUUAGCAAAUAAGAGGUGUGAAAGAACAGGACAAUACUUGUUAAGUUUGAUCCCUCUAAUUGUGAAAGACCACCCGGUUCCUGUACUUAGAUGCUUCAUCCAAUCUCUCUACUUCAAUUCUUUAGUUUACUAUAUUUGCUAUUCCCUUGCAGGUCGAUCCGUUUAAGCUCCAAUCCAUAACUUCCCCCCAGUUUGUAGGAACUUUAAUUUGUGAUGAAUUAGAUGUUCGUCUUUCCUCAGAACAUAAAUUCAUUUAUAUAGCAUGUAUCCUGAGACAUGAAAAUCUCUUUAUGCUAUCAAGCAAAGGGACAGUGCCCGAGGCCUUGUUACAUUGCAACUGUAAUUUUCUCGUCGUUUGUGUUGCCUAUCCAAGAAUUAAGAAAGGAUCUUUCAUGUGGCAUGGUUUAUAUCUUUUUGCUAUUCGGAAAGGACACUCAUAAAAAUACUUUGUUCUUUUGCCAAUUGUUUCCUUAAGUUACAAUUUAGUAAGAUCACUCGAUUACUGUACUUAGUUGCCUCAUCUGGGAGUUUGGGACACCUAGAGUGCCAUAACUUAGCACGGGAGGACACUUAAGUACCAUAACUUCAAAAUGGUACACUUGAAUGCCAGUUUCGAAGUUAAAUGAAACACUUAAGUGCCACUCCAGCGAAAAUCCGACCAAAUGGCUGACGUGGCAAUUUUCCGACGAGUUUGGUCCAAAACGGCGUCGUUUUGUACGCUAAUGUGGCGAGAAAAUGCAAAAACGACGUCAUUUCGUGUUUGACGUGUAAAUAAUAAUAUAAAAAUUAAUUAAAUUAGAUUUAAACUUAAUUUUAUUUAAAAUAUUCUAAAAUUUUUUUUUUUAAAAAAGGAGGUUGGAGGGGGCGGCUGANNNNNNNNNNNNNNNNNNNNNNNNNNNNNNNNNNNNNNNNNNNNNNNNNNNNNNNNNNNNNNNNNNNNNNNNNNNNNNNNNNNNNNNNNNNNNNNNNNNNAGUUUGACAAAUACUAUAGAAUAUUUUAAAUAAAAUUAAGUUUAAAUCUAAUUUAAUUAAUUUUUAUAUUAUUAUUUACAUGUUAUACACGAAACGGCGUCGUUUUUGCAUUUUCUUGCCACGUCAGAGUGCAAAACGACGCCAUUUUGGACCAAACUCGUUGGAAAAUUGUCACGUCAGCCAUUUGGCCGGAUUUUCGCCGGAGUGGCACUUAAGUGUUCCAUUUAAUUUCGAAACCGGCACUCAAGUGUACCAUUUUGAAGUUAUGGCAUUUAAGUGUCCUCCCGUGCCAAGUUAUGGCACUUGGGCUGUUCUUCUACCCCUCAACUGGUGUCUUUACUUCAGUUCUUUUGUUUACUACAUUCGCCCUUCCAUUGCAGGUCGAUCCGCUUGAGCUCCAAUUCAUUACUUCCCACCCCCCCUAACUCCUACCAUGAAAAAAAAAGAAAAAGAAAAAAAGAAUCAUUUAUAAAGUCUUCUUAGACAAGAAAAAUCUCCAUUACUAGUACUAGCCAAAAUUUGCUAUGAAGCAGGGGAUAGUACUCAAAGCCUUGUUACAGAGCAAGUAUAAUAAUAUAAAGAAACCAUAACGCUCACUUUAACACUAUAAAGUACUACUACAUGCCAUGGCCAAAUUCGUUAUUCUUGCAUGAACAUUAGCGCAUCUGGAUGCCGGUUAGAACCGUUUGUGGAUCUUCCAUUUGCUCUGGCGAAAUUUCACCUUCUUUUGCUUAACAAAGCCAUUGCCAUAAGCUUCAAACUCAGCCAAUCUUCCACGGGCUUUGUUCUUUUUAAAAUCCCUCUCCGACACUGUUUCGACCUUCUGCUGAGGAAGAUCAUCAGACAGUGGCCGAGCGGAGCCCCGUUUCAGGCUCUGUAGAUCGGCACCGACACUGCUUCAACCUUCUGCCGAGGAAGAUUGUUCUGGUUCUGGCCAAGCAGAGCCCCCUUCCGGAUGCAUUAAAAGCCCGCCCAUUCAUAAAGGUAAUCAUCGGAGGUGGUGUUCCCGGCAGGCAUACGCCUGGGAGUAUUGUCGAAGCUUUGAUGCAUGUUUCACAGUUGAGGUGGUACGGUGAAGGAAGUUCCAUAUAUAGAUGAAGGGUGAGAUGCUUCUGCUAUGUUCUUGAGGUGACAUUAGUGGCAUCUGAUUCCGAUACCAUAAAGUAGAACAGCAAAGCAAGAACAUGCGUGGAUGGUACCCAGAAAUACGGGGAUAUGGAAGGCGUCUUGGAGAUUGACGUUUUGAAGUUGAUGAUUAAUUGGGUUGACAUGCGUUAGAAGAAGCAUCGCUUGGCUUUCAAUAAUAUCUUUGCGAGAACUAGGAUUGAGCUAUAAAGGACCCUUCGAGAUGAAUCGGGUGGCUUUACUUAUACAUUGUGUAGAGUGUCAAGAUUCUGAUAAUAGCUUGUGAUGGUACGGUUGCGACUAGUUCAAACUUCACAAGCAAAAUCCCAUCCUCCAUAUUGUAGAAGGGAGUCAAAAUUGUAUAAGAUACAGUAUAUGGAUUGUAGCGGACCUUAAAAAUAAAUGAUACGUAUAAAUCGAAGGAAAUUAUGACCAAAUAGUAAAUGCUUCCCUUGCUCAAAACCCACAAAGAGAAUCAAUUCAAACCCCUAAUCAAAAGUUGUAUAACGCCUUGAUUCCUUGAAUAUCAUCCGCAUGGAGACCUUUGGUAGUCCCAGGAGCUAUGGAGGAGUACAUGAUGGCCCCUUCAACAUCGCUGUGCCCUAGCCCAAGGAGGUGACCGAUCUCGUGUAAAGCCACCGUCUCCACGUUAAAAGCGGCCGAGCCGGAGGGUGGAUCAACGGCCCACUUCUCAUCCGCGUCGUAGUGGAACAGCCCGACUGUUGGCGGAAACGCGUGGGCAAGAGUUCCUCCGGGGCCAUCGAAGCUGUUGUGUGCACCGUCUCCAUGGUCUCCUCUUGCAAACCCUAUCUGUAUGUUGGCAAUUUCAUGGUCCUCGACGUACGAGAAAGUGAAGCGUGUCACCGAGGUCCAAGUGGCAAAAGCCCGGGCAACUGGGGCCGUGGCAGCCUCUGGGGUCCCUGGGAGGAAGCCAUAGGUGAGAUGGUAAUUAGAGGCCGGCCAUCUAGGGCUUCCCUCCAAGAACGCAUAGUGAGACACGGUAUGGAAAGAUCCGAUCCCACGGAGGUUCCGCCCUUUCUUUCCGAACCCCAUGCGGGUGGUUCCAUUAAUGAUGUCCGCCACGCCGCAUCGUGGUCUCAUCAUUUUGGACGUAGUCUGGGGAUCCAAAGUUCCCGUGACAUUCAGAUGAUAAUUGAGUUGGUACGUCUUAACAGCAAAUUCUAACAGGUCGUCGAAGUCGUCGUCGUCGGCAUGGAUUGUCGGAUGACCGGAUUGGUUGUAAUUCAAAUAACCAAAUUUCUCGAGGUAUCUCUUGAGCUCGCGAAUGCCUCCGGUAUGAUUGCCCUUGUGACAUCCCUGAAGGUGCUGGAGGAACUCAAAGGGCGAUUUUAUUUGGUCAUCUGAAUGUGCUGAGGCGGCGUGAAAGAGGGAAGUGAGGAGGAGCAAGUAUGAGAAGGUGGAAAAGAACAUAGCAUCCAUGGCUGAACUGAUGAACGCGCACUCUUCUAGCAGAGAAUGAAUGUUUUAUGCAUUGUUGCCGUAUCGAAGGAGGCCUAUUUAUGGAUACAUGUCCCUUUUGAGGUGUAGCAGUAGCUAGGUCAUAAGGUCCCUUCGAAAUUGAAAUGUUCAUGAAUGGAAGAAACCGCAAGUACGUACUAACAGACAACGACCGCAUCGAUCUUCGAGAAAAACGCGUAUAAGACUGGGAAUUCGAGGAAAGAAACCCUGAGUACGGUACUAAAAACGACCUUUACUAGGUCUUUGAGAAGAAGACGUGUAAGACUGGGAACCGAAGAAGUAAUAUUGUUAGAACUCAAUUGUUAAUUUUAUGUAUUUCAUAGAGAAAGCCUCGCAGACAUUGACCUAGUCUUUGAUCCCCACUUAAGUAUCGCGAGCCAAACACAAUGCUAAAGCAUUGUGUUAUAUAAUUCAAAAGAAUCGACACGUGGGAUUCCUAUAUUGCGUGUGAAAAGCCACAAAUGCUGCAUAGGUACAUUCUAGUUUUAUUAAAUGCAAGUAGUCCCUGAACUUUCUAAUAUGUAAUAUAGUUCCCAAACUUUAGUAUAAUUUACAAUGUCAUCUUUAAACUUUUAAUUUGUACAAUAUAGUUCUUAAACUAUUAGUAAAUGUUCAAUAUAAUCAUUUUGUUUGCAUGAAAUUCAUAAAAUUUAUGGACUAAAUUGAAUAUUUACCAAAAGUUUAAGGACCACAUUGAACUAACUAAAAGCUUAAGGAUGAUAUUACACAUUGAACCAAAAUUCAAGGACUACAUCGAACAAAUUAAAAGUUCAAAGAUGACAUUGGACAUUUUAAUUAAUUUUCAAGAAUCAUUUGUGUAAUCAUCACUUUCAUUAAAGAUGCGGUGUAUUGCCGAUGAUAGUGCAAAUCAAUCUAUAAGAAGAUUUGUGUUUUAAGUGGGACCCUGUAUGAAUUCUAUAUCUCCUUAUGUGAUUAACUCGAUUGAGGAUAAGGCAAUGUUGAGAUAACUAAUUAAUCAUCAGUCUACUAUCAUAUGGAGCAACAGCCACUGCCCCUUAGUAUUGUUGUUGUUGUUGUUUUUUUUGGGUCAAAGGAAGUUUUAUUGAACCAAAACAGUCUUAAACAUUCAGGCUUACAAUAGGAGCAUCAAGACAAAGCAAGUCCCACAGUGGCUGAGGGGAUGUGCUACCCAAUUAGGAAGUAAAAGGUUGAGUUUUCAAGUUUAGCAGCCCAAUCCUUUACUCGGUUAUUCUCUACUACAAUAGACAAUCGUCGGAUUAAUAAAAAGGCCCAUUAAGUCACGGGCUCCCGAGAUAAGCACGUUGACUUUCCAAGGCAACCUGAAUGCCGAAGCUCUCCCAUUUUUCAUCGCAGCUCGUCGGGAGAAUAGGGGAAAAAAUUGAACCCAGAAAUCCAAAAUCUGCCCGCGACUUCCUCUGUUCGUCUUCCGCUUCGUCUUUCCGGCGGCCCAGCUCCAGAUCUGGAGAAGAGCCUCGUCCAUGGCGGUGACAAGCGAGGUCGGGAUCCCGGCUGUGAUUGGGCUCUGGUGGUGUUGGGGAUGGGGGUGGAACUCAGCUCGCCGCCGGCGGGACUACCGUGGCGAGGGGUAAGGGCUCAUGGGAGGAGGAUUGCGACGGACCGGCGAGGUCGACCUCAACCUCAUCAGCCGUCACCUCUGGCCGGUUGCCGAGGUCCAGCGACCGGCUAGAGGAAGAAGAGGAGCAGAAAAAAAAAAAUUAAAAUUAAAAUUAAAAUUAUUAAAAUAUUAUUAAAAGUUGUUCACAUUAACGCCAAUUAGGCUACAUCAGCCGGCCGGCGUCUAGUCAGCAAAAUCCGGCCAAAAUUGGCCGAAAAAGACUGAAUUGGCAUAACGUAAAAAGACUUGGGACUGAAUUGGUAAAUCGGCACAAAGACAAAAGGUUUAGGACUUUUUUUGUACUUUUCCCUCUUUUCAACUUUUCAAGUAACUCUCUCUCCCCCCUUCUUUUUCGGAGAAAAUAUUCGCUUGUUUCUCACCACAUCAACAAGAAGACGGAAUUUAUCUUCCUCCAUCUUCUCUAGAAAAUCGAACAUUGGAGCGAUUUUCAUCAAUGCAGAUCAAGCGACAGGAAUAACCUCGGACAACCAGGGCAAGGGGAGUGGGAGAUUAUUCGCAGUCUCCAAAAAGAAUGGGGUGCAUGCUGUUGGUCCUCCUCUCUGAUGUUGUUCAUCUUGUUUCUCUUGCUAGACUGAGUAUGCACAUACUCUGGUUGUCGGGGGCAUAAUUUACGCCAUCACAGAUGUUGAAGAACUGGGCGAAUGGAUGAAGGGCUGUUAGGAAAACCACCCAUAUUUGAUGCACUGACGAAGGAAGAACUCGUGAACGAUCCAGUGGUGAAGCUAUUGACCAGCGCGAUCGAGGAAGGCCAAAAUGUUGCCAGGAAUGGUGGGCGGACAUUUCAAGCAGAGUGCAGACGCAUUGCCCCAUCUCUAUGAUAGAAAUCAACUAAUGGCUUUAUGUUUGUGUAUCAGCAGUAAUUUUUUGGGACCAUCCUAAGUGAACUUUCAUGCAUUGUUUGGGAUCCUUUGAAAGAAUGAGAUAUUCUUUAUAAUGCAAAAGAGAAAUUGCAUACCUGUUUCUUCAUUUCUUCUUAUGCCUUCGUGUUUUUUUUUCCUCUCGCCAUUUUGUACUUUAUUUUUUUGGCCAACUAUGCAUUCACGUUAUCAUUGCAUUUAAAGCUUCACCACUUUGAAGAUUCCAUCAACCAGAAUUUUUUUAGCAGCAAUAAAGCUUUAGUAUGAAGACUUGACAGGGACGGCAUAAUUAGCCAUCUAUUUCGAUCUACAAAUAUGCAUUGUUAACGAAAUGCUACGAGCGACCGUAAAAAUUUGCCGCUUUCAAUGUGCUUCUUCUCACAUCCGACGAUAGAGCUUUCAUCCUUUUAGAGCAUCAAUGAUUAGAGUUUGCUAUUGUGAUGUCAAAAGGCCAAUCAUAUAUGGUCUAAGAUAGAGGCGAUGAAGAAGGAACUGUCGUCAUCUAUCUGUGCACAUAGGUUCAAUUCUUCUUUGCUGGUUCAUGCCGUGACGUGCAAUCUCAAAUCCGACUAUAGAGUUUUCUUCAUUAUUGUUCAUCAGAGAAGCACAAACGCACCCAACCUCAUCAACAAAGAGUGUUCAUUCCACUAGACUUAGCUCUCAAAUAUACGGCGACGAACUAUGCUUCCACGAGAAACCCACACUAGGUAACAAAUGGUGGUAGGCAGAGACUCGCCGCCCUUCUAGCGUCUUCUCGUACUCCUCGAUGGGCUUGAAGAGCUCCGAGAAGUUGCCCUUCCCGAACCCUCCGCAACCGCCCUUAUGAUACAGUUUCCCGUGAUCGUCCGUGAGCAUGCACCCCACUCUUUAUAUGAUCUCUAUGAAUAUGGUCGGCCUGCACAGUCAGGCAGCAAGAGAAACCAGAUGAACAACAUCAGAGAGGAGGACCAACAGCGUGCACCCCAUUCUCUUUGGAGACUACGAAUAAUCUCUCACUCCCUGUGCGCUAGUCGUCCAAGGUUACGCUUGUUGCUUGAUCUGCGUUGAUGGAAAUCGCUCCAACGUUUAAUUUUCUGGAAAGAUGGAGGAAGAAAAAUGCCGUCUUCUUAUUUCUUACCUUUACCAAAAAAAAAAUGCCGUCUUCUUGUUGAUGCAAGUGAGAAACAAGCGAAUAUUUUCUCCGAAAAGGGGAGAGAGAGAGCAGGUGAACAAGCCUAUUGCUUGAAAAAUUGAAAAGAUGAGAGAGAAAAGAAAAGAGGGGAGAGAGAGCGCCUGGGUAAACAAGCCCCGAAAAAUUGAAAAGAUGAGAGAGAGGGUUUUGAGCGGAGACAAGCAUUUAUUAUUCCUUCUGUCAGUGAUUUGCCAGAGAAGAGAGAAAAGAGCGUCCUAGCCCUUCCGAUUUUAAUUUUUCAAUUUCUACAUAUUUCAGCUCACGGACAGAUGUCACUUUCUCAGUGAAAUAUGCACGCCACGUCAGCCGAUGACGUUGUGGUUACUAACCACUGAAUAUUUUCUCAGAGCAGAGGGACAGUGCCCAAAGCCUUGUUACAUUGCAACUGUAAACUACUGUGUAAGAAAGUAUAACACUCACUUUAACACUGUAAAGUACUACUGCAUGCCAUGACCAAAUUUAUUCCUGCACGAACAACACUAGUGCAUUUGGAUCCCGGUUAGAACUGUCUGAAGGUCUUCCAUUUGCUCAGCUGAAGCUUCGCCGGCUUUUGCCCAGCAGAGCUAUCAGCAUUAGCUUCUAACUCAGCAGAUCCUCCACGGCCUUCGUUCUUUUUACGGUCCCGCUCCGACACUGCCUCGACCUUCUGCCGAGGAAGAUCAUUCUGGUACUGGCCGAGCAGAGCCCCGUUUUGGACUUCGUUGGAGGCCGGCUCAUUCUUGAAGGCUCUGUACACGUUCGGGUAUUGAGAGAUAUCGGGAUUGACGCUAAGCGUCCUUGACAUUCUCGAGAUGUGUUCGAGGUAAUCAUCGGAGGUGGUGUUCCAGCCAGGGAUGGAACUGGGAGUAUUUCCUAAGCUUCGACGCAUGUUUUCGCCUUUGCAGUGGUAUAGCGAAGGAACUUCCAUUUAUACAUGAAGGAGUGAGAUGCUUGUGCUAUGUUCUUGAAGCGAC
rnacentral:lncRNA from 1 species